rnacentral:lncRNA from 1 species
UCCAUUUUCCCUACAGCGACAUAAAACAGAAAUUUCGAGGCCCGUUAGACAGAUAACGAGCGACACCAUCAGCGAGAAACAAAAUAUCAUGGAAAGCUUGACAACAGAAGAGACCAAGGUUUGAUUUGAGAUCUAUCCACACUUCAGGUUUUCAUCAGAUCAUCAUUGAUAAAUGCAACCAUUAUUACCAAAAUUUUGCUAUUCAAAUUAACUUAUUCUGACCUCAUAACAGUAUUCGAAAAUCAAUUUCUUGAGCCAGCAAGCUUUCCCAGGUGAGCAAACGAUCAAUAUACUCAGGCCUUUGGGGGAAAUGACUCGAUUUCAUCAUCCAGCGUGUUCAUGUGAACUGGCCUGUAGGGGAGCCUAACUUUUUCAUUCUCCCAAUAGCUGCAGAUAACAAUAGGAGCUUUAUCAACAAACUGGCCUUCAACACAAGCAACUCAUCAAUAAUAACAGCAAUCAGUACAUGACUUCAACUUAUGCAGGGUGUUCAAGAUUACAAAACCAAGGUGAAAUAGUCGUUAACAUCAGCUGUGACGGCCCGAAUCCUUGACUAUUCGAGUGUUACCAAAUAAAACUUAAUUCUUUCAUAAGAAAUAAAAGAACAUGAAAAAGUUUUAUUUAUUUCUUCAAUAAGUAAAUAAAUUUUAGUUUUUAUCAUUUAGUUUCAAAACAUGAAAGAAAGAAAAUAAUUCUAAUAUAACAACUAAAUUUGAAAUUCAAAGUUAUGUUUUAAGCACAACACUAUUUAUUAAUUCUAGCCCUAUUGUCAUCUCCACAUUGACUGCCUCGAACCAUCAAUUGCCUGAAAGGGGGAAUUAUCAUAAAGUGAGAUUUAUAAAAUCUCAAUAAGUACGCCAUGAAUUAUUAUUGUGUAUAACUUAAAAGAGUAUAAUCAUAAUCAACAUAAUGAAGACACAAGAAUUAUACCGAGCAUAAAUGGUAAGAAUUCUUAUGUGUAGCACUACUAAACUCCGGUCCCCUUAACAUAAUCAUAAUCAUAACAUAUGGGAUCCAUAAUAAUUUUCUCGAAAUUCAUGACAUAAUAACAAUUCAACAUAGGCAGCAGUGUACUUACAGUGAUGUUUGAAAGAAAGAAUAAUAGAGACUUAAUUCCUCUACAAUUUCCACCUCGGCUUAUGAAUGUGUAUGUAUAUAUUAUUUGGACUAAAAAAAUAUAAUAGUGAGUGAUAACAUGUAAAUGUGAAUGAGUGGUUUAUAUAGGACAAGAUUAGGCAUGCAUCAUUAAGGAAAAAUUAAUGAUGGUGGAAAUUGUUCCUUGAAAUUUGUGAAAUGAGCAAGAAUCUCUAUCAUUCCUACAUUUAUGCAUUCACACUACACGUUACCUUAUGCUUGAUCAAUCAAGCAUAAAUCAAGAAUUUUACCUUAUAUUUGGUCAAUCAAGCAUAAAUCAAGAAUUUUACCUUAUGUUUUGUCAAUCAAGCAUAAAUCAAGAAAUUUCUAUAUAAGUGUUUGACCAAGAAUUUAAUCAAAACAUUUGAGAAUUAAAACUCAUGUUAAGUUUGCUACAAGGUCCUAUAAGGUGGAUUAACCCUCAAAUGAGUCCCUAAAUUUUCAAUUUUGAUAAUUAGACCUGGAAAUUCGGAUGUGGGUAUUAUAUCAGUAUGCAGCGGAAAAUAUUCCAAUGUAUCAACAUUGAAUGAUACAGAAAAUCCAAGUUACGAGGCUCGAAAAAUGGGUAUGUCCACUUCAAAAGCAAACACUACAGUGUGCAUUCAAGUUAAGAGAUGAGUGCAUUCUGUUAACCUAUAUCAGAUGUGUAUGUGUGAGAUGGACACGUGGAUUGGCUAGUACAAACAAGAAACUGCAGGAAAAAACUUACCCCAAAGUGUGUUUCAUCCAGUUUUCAUCAUCUCUUUUCUGCAAACAGAACAAAAUUUGAUUCAGUUGUGCCAGGCUAAAGGAGAAAAAUGAAAAAUAAAUUUAACAUUUAAGAGUUUUGAACGAGCCGUAAAAUCUUCAUGCGAAUGGGCUCCUCUACUUUAUUUCUUUGCUUCAGCAGAGUGCAUGGUGAUACAUGCAUUGAUUAAAUUGUUUUCCAACUCAAUAGUCUCUAUCAAGUCUGAGUUCCUGUAAACAUAAAGAGUCUAUUAAAAGGUUUUCCGACUCUAAGUCUGAGUUGGUUAUACAUGCAUUAAUUGAAUCUACUACACUGGGGCAAAAUAAGUAAUGAGAAAUUAUGGACUUCAGUAUAUGACUUUCCAUGCUAAUAAUCCUACUAAACAUACAUACCAUAUUAAUCUUCUGUCCUUCAACUUGACAUCAUGGAAGCUCUCCCAUGCUUUAUCAAUCAACUGACAACCUUUAAAAUAAAAAAAAUAAAGAAUCAGCGAGGUAGAGAAUUUAAAUAUAGUGAUCAAUGGAGUCUAAAUAGUAAGCCUGUUUCAAAAGCAGAGUCACUGCAAACUUGUCUGUGUAGAUGGAGACCAAUUAAGCAAGAAACUGAAGUACAUCCACCUUAGUAUCUAGUUCAUCUCUUAUACAACAAACUAAAAAAUGGAUGUCUCUAUUGCACACCUUCUUCUAAUGUUUCCUGCAUGUGAAACACAGCAGCAUUGCUUUGCAUAAUCCGCUGCAUGUUCAACCGGAUAUUUGAGGUGGGAAGGGAACCAUUUGAAUUCCUAGGCUUCUCCAACCAUGCAAUAGUCCUUUCUCCAUCAACCUUUUCAUGUGGUUUUUGACUCUGUCCUGCAUGAGUGCAAGACAUCUCAAACUUGUCAUACAUUGCCCAUGAAGCACCAAAUCCUUAAAUAAACAAACUUCUAUUUACCUGGUCUACGGAUCUCAUCAACCCUGUUUGCACAAGCCCGUCCAAACACAACAAUAUCAAGAAGCGAAUUUGCACCAAGUCGAUUAGCGCCAUGAACAGAUGCACAUGCAGCUUCCCCAGCAAAUAAGUCCAGGAGUCACUGCAUCAGGAUCAUCAACUUUGAUAGUAACUACCUGCAUAGUAACCAUUAUUUAAGGAGAAGAGUUCUAUAUUAUUUGAUCAAGAGUAAAAAUUUCAGCAUGAAUUUGUACCUCUCCAUGGUGAUUUGUGGGGAUCCCACCCGUGUUAUAAUAAACAGUAGGUAAAACAGGGAUUGGCUCUUUGGUAACAUCUACACCGACAAAAAUAGUAGCAGUUUCAGAUAUUCCAGGAAGUCUCUCCUCGAGGACCUCAGGAGGCAAGUGAUUUAAGUGAAGCUAGAUAUGAUCUUUCAAGGGUCCUAUCGGGAGUCAAGUAUAACCCGUUAAAUUAUGUACAAGUGGUAACAAUCAAUCCUAUUAUCUCCACUAGCUGCCACAUAUUCUCCAAUCGAUGUUUAUUCAUUUCUCUAAGCUACCAACCAUACAUAUAUAACAUUAAUUCUGAACAAACCACCACCCAAUAUCAUGUAUCGUUCACUUCUACACAAUAUAAAGGAACACAUUUAAGCUUAUGUAGGAUUAAUUGAGAAAUUCAGAACUUGUAAAAGUUGAAUAAAUUAGCAGAAGUAGCAGAAUACACACAGUAAAGAAACAACUAAGGGAAAAGAAGAAGGAGAGAAGGGGAAGGGAAGAGAAGAGAAGAAAGGGGGCGGUGGAAAAAGAGAACACUCCUGCAACAGUCAAUUCAUUCUAUCAUCAAUCUGUCCGUCCCUUACAAAAGGUUGCCUACAUAUAUAAAAUACAACACGAAAGAAAAAGGGCAUGGGCCAGCCCAAUACAUAAUACAAGCCCAAAAAUAAAAGAUACUAAACUAGCCCAAAAGUAGCCCAAAGCAAAGAUGCUAAACUAGCCCAAAAUUAGAUGUCCUCAUCACUUAGUCAAGGCAAACGCUAACUUAAGAAUUCAUAAGAUUUAUUAAUCAUACUACAACAAGAAUGAUUAAACAAGAUACUGAAUUCUGAAAUUAUAACUAGUAGAGAUUUGAAACUUAGGGAAACCAUCACCGUGUUCUGGAGGUACUGCGAUGAAGAUUAUGUGGAAGUAAAUUUAUUUCCUUUUCCUUGAAAAAUCAAAAUUAGUUAUUACAGGAAAGAAUAAAAGCCUUCAUAAAACAUGUUAAAAAGGGUGAAUGAAGUAUCAAAAAGUCUAUCCAAUUCCAAAAGAACUUUGAAUGUAUUGAUUAUUUCAAUUGAAAAUAAAGAGAAUACGAUACUCCAAGUUCUCCAGGAAGGAUUUCUACAUUUUGAAAGCCCUCUGCUCUCUUCUCCCAAAACAACUCACCCUAGACGUGGGAGUGACUUUUUGGAUACCAAAAUUUAACACAUUCAGAUAAACCAAAUUUUAUGGUACACCAUAGAUUGUGAAUGCAGCCAUACCUACACCACGCCCUUCUCGGAUCUCGGAUCUCCAUUGUCAUGGAUCUUGAGACAGCGUCUCUUGAUGCAAGAUCCUUAGCUGUUGAGGCACACCAUUCCAUGAAUCUUUCACCUUCACUAUUCCUAAGAAUACCAUUUUCACUCCCAGACCCUGAACAUGGAGAAACAAACAUUGGAAACGAAAGAAUCUGUUAAUAAAUAAAGUAAGAGCAGUAAGUUUAUAUAGAUCAGACCAAGAUAGAUAGACACAGACCUUCAGUAAUGAGACAGCCAACACCAUAUAUACCAGCUGGAUGAAACUGGACAAACUCCAGAUCCUGCAAAAAGAAAGUCAUCACAUUAAUGGUUGGAGACAUUAACAUUAGCACCUGUUUAUGAAAAUUCGCUUUAAAAAUAGAUUCUCCAUCCCCAAUACUCCUUAUUUGAAAAUAGAAAUACAAAAUAAAAAUUCAACAAUAAACACACCUCGAGAGGCAGUCCAGCUCGAGAAAGCAUAGCAUUGCCAUCUCCGGUGCAAGUGUGAGCAGAGGUAGCAGAGAACUAUGCCCUACCAUAGCCCUGGCAGAAGCAGCAACAGAAGUAGUUUUUCAGGCGAUAAAAAUCGAAAGAAGGAUUUUAUUGCAAAUGACAGGUUCAAGUCUAAAUAUGCUUCAAGAAUUAAUAGUUACCCCUGUAGCCAGAAUUGUUGAGGCAGCACGGAACCUGUGUAACGUCCCAUCUUCCAUAUUUAAGGCAAUUACACCUCGACAGCUACCUGAUAACGAAAAAAAAAACACACAAAAAGAAAAAAGUGACAGAUUUACACCUGUCCAUGUUUUAUCCAUUUGCAUGUGUACUGCAUGUCCUUUGUUUUUUUUUUUUCCCUCCUGGUUCAAUAAGCCAAGUAUAUUAACGUACAUACACUCAAAAAGAUAUUAAUCCACUCGCCUUUCAACCAGCGGUUCCAUGUUCCGUUCAGAUUUUUGCAUUAUGGUAGUUAAAGGACCGCAUUUAAAUGUAAAUAACAGAAUAACAGUCUGCUGAAUUUGAAGAUGAUGUUUUUGAAUUUUUAGAUUCCAGUUAAACCCUAGUAUAUUUUGGUUUUUCUCCCCACUUUUACUUUGUCUACAGAUACAUUUUUCCUGGCCAUAAACAUUUUAUUGUUGACUACAUAAUUCACAAAAUGAAUUUCUUAGCCCAAUGUUAUCACAAAACUUUGAGAGAUUUCGAAUAAUCCCAGAGGGAGAAAAAGAAAUAUUACAAAGCAAAAAUGAUUAAACAAAUUCCCAAUGUAAGAAGGAAGUUAGGGUAACCCUACCAUCACUACCCAUAAGUAAAUCCAGGGCAAAGUAUUCCACAAAAAAAUUGUGUAUUGUGCUUCAUAGCCUGGCCAUAAAGAGUAUGCAACAAAGCAUGCCCAGUUCGAUCUGCAGCACAUGCACAACAAUAUGCUUGUCCACCUAAAAGAAAUAGAGGCAAUGCAAAUCAAAUAAGUUCAGUUGAAAUCCUGUACUAUUCUUCCAUGUAAAAAUACCUUAACACCUUUUUCCAAAGUUUAGGCUUUGACCACCAAAUGCACGCUGAUAAAUCUUCCCAUCUUUGGUCCUAGAAAAUCGUAGCCCAUGAUUUUCAAGCUCUAUAACUGCUUUUGGAGCUUCCCUACACAUGUACCGAAUGGCAUCCUGAUCACCUGCAGAAAACAUAAUGCCAGUUACUUAAAGAUAGUUUAACUCCUUUUUGACUUACCUUGGAUCCUUUACUUAGAUAUAUGAGGAAUGGUGGUAAAAUCUGGUGAGUAAAUAAAAGAAAGAUACAAGACCCCAAGGAUUUCAAAAACAUUUUUCUCAACCAUAGACCCAAAGCAAACAAAUAUCUGGUGUGUAGGUGGUCAACAGCUCAGAAAUCUCUGAGAUUUGUAGAGAUUCACAUAAAAGACAAUAAAAACAUAGAUACUUGACCAAAAUUUUAAUAUUAUGUUGCAUAUGAAAGUGUAGGUAACAUCCAGUUCUAUAUCGAGAAAGAAUUUUAAACAGUAGUUUCAAUGCAUAAACUGUACCAUGUAAACUAUGAAAUUUCUAAUUAUGUUCAUUACACAUAGAAAAAUAUAUGUAUCAUGGAAUUCAAUUUCAAUUGGAUAGGGAUCUUGAGUCACUUCAAUAUACUUAUAUUACCCAACAGGAUCCAUACACUGAAAUUUUCAUAAUCUAAUUCCAAUUCAGGCGUUACUCAGAUCACAACACCCCAAGCUACCAAGCAUUUAGUGGUUAUAAUUAAUAUUAACAAAAUAAAAUGAAAAAAUAAAAAUUGCUUUCGGUGUUCUGACAACUAGAAGAAAGCCUUUGCCUUGUAUAAGUAGCAAAUACCUAGCCAGUCACUUCCCUUGACUGUAUCAUACAAGUGCCACCUCCAAUCAUCUUCUGUCAUAUUUCCCAAUGCAGCAUUUAUCCCACCCUGCAAAAGGAUUUACAGAGAUGGAGGUUAGAUGCACAUUUUACAGUGGACAAACAUUUUGGACUUGCAUUGGACAUUGGAGCACAGAACUUCGUGUAUUUAUAAAGAAGUCAAACAGAUAUUGACAUAAAGUAUAACCAAAAAUUGACACCCCCCAAAAUAUAUAAUAGAAUAACAACUACAGAGACAAACAACAGUCUGGUAUGUUUCAAGCCACCUAAAAACAGAGACUAAAAAAUAAAAAUAAUAAAAAAUAAUAAAAAAAGAGGAAAAGGAAAAGGGAAGAAGAAAAAAGAAAAGUAGAUUUCUAGCAAUGGGGAAUGGCAAGAGGCAGGUCGUCUUUGCUAAAAUUGAGUUAUUUGAACAUACAGCCAGGGCAAAAUCUGAAAAUUGCAUCUGGUAAAUUGAUCAAAAAUUUGAAAUGAUUUCUUGGUUUCAAUAACAAGAUGACAAUGAGUUUUAUCUGUGGAUGAAAAAAACUUGAAAAGGUGAAAAUAUGCCAGAGAAGGUGUAAUAAGAAUCAUUUUAAAUUAUUUAUGAACUAGAACAAACAGAAUACAUAAAAAUAAUAUUACAACUAAUGCGACCUUUCCUCCUCUAAUUUUCCAUUUUGGCCACUAGCAAAAUUAUAUUACUAGCCUCAAAACAUUUAAAUCAAUGUCAUAAACAUAAUGAAUACCCACUUACUGAUAGCAUCCAAGGAGAUGGGAAAAUAAAAACAAAAAGGGAGUUAUAGUCCAAUUCCAUAUAUCUCAAACAAAACAACAAUACUCAUUUAGUUCUUUUAACACUAGAUAUAUAUGAUAAAAUUGGCCAUGUGAGACACAGAUACAGAAGGAAGGAAGAAGGAAGAGGAAGAAGGAAGAAAUUAUUGUCCAUGCUUAUGGAAGUAGGAAACAAGAGCUAGAAUUACGGUACCUGAGCCACAACUCUAUGAGACUGAGUAGGAAAGAGCUUAGUAAUGCAAGCUGUGUUGAAUCCAUGAUCUGACAACCCUAUCGCCGCUCUCAGACCAGCACCGCCUGUGCCGACCACAACAGCGUCAUAGGUAUGAUCCACCACUGUGUAUGACGACCCUCCCACAUUCUGUUCAAAACAAACCACUAGUUCCAAAAAUGAAUAAAAAGAAAAAUUGAACAUAUACUAUUUCAAAACGAUAAUACAUAAUAUUAAAAAUCCCAUCAAGCUCAACCUAAGCCUGCAACCCAUCAGUUUAAAAAAAAAAAAACCCCCCAAAUCCACAAAAGAAUCAAAUCACAAAAUUAGAACAGAUUCAAAUCAACGACCCAAGACUUGUCUCCAGAUUUGCAACGUACAAAAUAAAAGCAACUUUGAAAAACAAAUAAACUUAUUAUAAGUUAAAAUUGUAAACAAGGAAUCUUACCGAUUGAGAUGAAAAGAGACGGCGGAGGGAGUCGCCGGCUGUAGAUUUCUUCGACGGAAUGUGGAUGCCACGCGACACGCACCGCUACAUCUCUAUUCACUUCUGUAUAAGGUAAGCGAGUUUUAAUCAAUGUUUUAGAAGGCGUAGUUCGUGGUAAUGAGUGGAGGCCAAAGCAUGGGCAAAGCGAAUUUAGGCGAGGGAUAGAGGGAAAAAAGCGUAAAAAUAUAAUUUUAUUUUAAUUUUUAAUAAAUCAAAAAAUAUUUAAUAAUUAAAAAUAAUACUUACUAAAUAUUUAAAACAGAUUUAUAGGAACGUUAUAUAUUUUUUUCAAAGUUUUCAAUAAAAAUGUAAGUUUCAAAUUUAAAUACAAAAUAGUAAAUAAAUAAUAUAAUAAUUUAAAUCAUAAUUUUUAAAUCUUAUUUAACUCUUUAUCGGACUCCAAUUUAAUAUCAUCUUCUUCAUCUAAUUCGUCAUCUAUAUCUUCCGAUACAAGUGGUUGUUUUAAAUUAGAGCAAAACAAAGAAAUUAGUCAUUGAAAAUUUUUUAACACCACAAAAUUAAAAUAAAUAAAUAAAUAAUAAUUAAAAAAGGAAGGUAAUGCAUGCAUAAUUGGGCCUAGGCCCGUCUUAAUGGUCAACAGUUGUUACUGUUGACCGCCAAAUAAGUGGCUUGGCAUUUUGGCUGAGCAUCAUGAUUAGACGCCGCCUUUUAGAAUACUGGUUCUUAUAUAAGAUUGUGAUUGUGAAUGAAACUGCGUGCAUCCGAGACUCUGAGUUUCGUUAUGGAAAAUGACAAUGUUUUUAAAAUUGGACUAAACAUCGACCCGAAAAGAAAAAAAAAAAGAAAAAAGGGUCAAGGUUCAAAAUGUUCGAUCGGAGUCACACCAGAAGUAUUAAAUAAAUAUUUUUAAACAUUUUGAUUUAUUUUGACAACAAUAAGUUUUGAACAAUGACCAAUGUUUUUAUUAUAUAAUAAAUUUUAAAAAAAAAAGUUUUGGAACAAUAAUAGGUACCAAAUUUAAAUAAAAAAAUAAACUCAAGUAUUAUAACAAUAAUAUAUUUAUUUUAGCGUUACUAAUUCAAAGUAAAUUUAAUCUACGUUUAUUAAUUAGAUGCAUUAUAAUAUAAUUUAUUUUAAAACUUCAAAAAUUGAAAUAAUUUGCCGUAGUCUUUAUUCAAAUAAAUCCAUUUGUUUGUUUUGCAAUUGGAAGUCUUCGUCCCACAUUGGUAAUUGAAUGCAAAUGUGGAGAGAGACAUGCCUUUAAAAGGGAGUGCUCGCCACCAACUUAAAAAAGUAUAGUAUGGGCUUGUGGCUGUAAUCCAUGAGCCCAUUAAAGGAGUUAAAUUUUUUUUAUAAACAUGGUGCAUGGGAAGCAGUCAAACUGUAAAUGAUUUUUCUGAUUUAGGGGUAAAUCGCCCAAUUCUAUGGUUUGUUGAUCGGGUUUUCCUCUUUCGAUUAUUGUAGUGUGCCCAAACUGAAUUUUAGGUCGAUUCACGAUUUUCUCGGUUGAACCUACUCAUCCAGUCGAAUUUGAAGAACAUUGGGAAAUGAUGAAGGAAAAUGGACAUUGGAAUUGGAAAGGGACUAAGUCAUAUAUAACCAAAAAUGAGGAUAUAUUUGCCACUGGACUUUCAAGAUAUAGGGUCUGUUCAAUAGUGAUUUUUUGACCGUUAAUAAAGAAAAGUGAGUCUCAUUUAUGAGUGAAGAAAUUAAAAAUGAAGGUUAAAAAAGUGAAAUAAUGGUUAAAAAACUGAUUUUUUGGGGGUGAAAUAGACAUAUACUUAAAUGCCAUUUCUUAAUUAUGAAAUAUUAGUUAAUUUUAAAAUUAAUAUUUAUAAAUUCUAAAAGUAUCUUUACUCAAACUUGUAAUUACUAAUUUAAUCAAUUAAGGUACCAUUAAAGAUUUAGAAAACGUAUAGUCUAGAUUUUCUUUUGUAAAAGGUAACUUUUUAAAAGUGAUUAAAAAGUGUGAAAAAAUUAUGAGUUCACGUACAAAAUUAUUUUAUUAAAAAAUAUAUAUCAUGAAAAAAAUGAUUUUUCUAAAAAAAUAAAAAUUUACAUCAAAUAAAGGCUUAGAAUACUUUUAAGGUGCAAAAAUCGACGAGCCAGUUCGAACCAGCACAGCUCAGUCCUAUCUUGGGAUCGGCCCAUGCCGAUUGAAGGGACCAAUUCUUACCUAGCUUGUAAAAAAAUCCAUAGACUCAAGGACCUACCCAUGAAAGGGACAAUGUUAAAAUAAACUAAGCUAAUAUUAAAUUUUAAAUACAAAAAUAUGAAAUAACUUUAAUUUAAUUACAAAAUAAGAAUAAACUAUCAAAAAUCAAUUCUUAAGGCUGUCAUAGCCUAAGGCUAUUUUAGCACCUUUUCUAAAGCUUUCCAGCCUUAUCUCAAGCCUUUUAACCUUAAGUGAUUUUUUAUUUUAUUUUUUAGUAUCAAGGAGUCAAGGCAUUUAGGCCAAAAUACCAAAUGAAAGUAGUCAGUAAUUCGUCCCAACAUGACUUUCUAGAACCGGUCUAAGUAGUUUGCUCAUUACAAACCAUUGCUCAACGAAUAAAAGUUACUCUAGGGAUAACAGGCUUAUCUUCCUCAAGAGCUCACAUUGACGGGAAUGUUUGGCACCUCGAUGUCAGCUUAUAAAAAUUAUUUUUAUUUUAUUCUUUCAAAUAUAAACAGGCUAGACUAUUAACUAUCUAGCCCAAUUAGUAAAAUCGGUUCGAACCAAUAUUUACAUCCAUGGGCCCUUGAAUCGGCACACUUGAACUACAGGCCAAUUCGCGGGCCAUUUUAAUUGGGCUAGCCACAUGGCCUACCCAGUUUGACACCACUAUUAAAUAGCAUGUUUUGGAGUGACUUACUAGUCAAAGGAAAAAAUUUCUUAACUAAGAGAUUAUGUAUCUUCCAUUUCAAAACUAAUAAUUCAAAUUUCAAAAAUCAGAUAUUCAUUAAAUUUUAUUUAUUAUUUAAUUAAUUAAUUAUAUAUUUUAUUAAUUAAAUAUAUUAAGAUCACAGAUUUAUGUAAUUUGGUCACAAAUUAAAGAUUUAAUUAGUCAUAUAUUAUUUUUCGAUCACAAGUUAAAAAUUUUAUAUGUCAUAUAUUUUAUUAUCACAAUUCAAAAGUUUUAUAGGCUACAAAUUAUUCAUCGGUCACAAGUCAAAAAUUUAUAAGUCACAAUUUAUUUAUCGGUCACAAAUCAUAAAUAUAAUAAGUCACAACUUAUUAUACAAUCACAAAUUAUCCAUCAUAAAUUAACAAUUUUUUAGGUCACGCAUUAUUUUUUGGUCAAAAUUUAUUUAUUUUAUUGGUCACAUAUUAUUUAUUGAUCAUGGAUUAACCAAUUUAAUGAUCACAGUCAACCAAAUAAUUUGUGACCACCACCAACACUUGCGACCACCAUCUCAUCAUUACCUCCAGCGCCACCAUCACUGCAAACGCCAGAACCAACACCACCACCUCCUCAAAAAAAUCAACCCAUUGAAGAAAAUAUCUCCACAUUGCCACCCACGACCACCACACAACACAAAAAUGCAAAAACAACCAUAACAAUGUCAUUGCACAACUAGACUCGAACUUCGUAGCGACCAUAGCACCGCGCCACUAAAUAUACUAACUCACCGAACUACCAAAGCACUACCACCUCGCUGCCACAGCCAACAACACAACCAUCACCAACUAAAUAUUGAACACCAAAAAUUAUGUCCAAACAUCAGAGAAGGAUGAAGCUAGUGGUUAGGAACUUGAUGCUAGAAGAACCUCCCAACGAACCCCCGUCAACCUACCACCAAACCGCAGAAAACGUCACCUCGCACGCGUGUGCACACCUAUACCCAGCCACCGCAUCCACAACACCACAACCAUACCCACAGUAACACAACCCCACCCACACUACCAUAGUCACACGCACGUGCACACUCAUACCCAAACACCGUACCACCAUCGCAUCCACAAGACCACAAUUGCACCCUCAACAACACAGCUGCACACACACCACCAUAGUCGCACACCACCAUCGAGUUUUACACCGCUGCAGUCGCCAUCUGGGUCGUUAUAGGCGCGAUCUGCAGUACCAUCACUGCGCAGCUAUAUCGCUACUACAGAUCACCACCAUGCAACACCAUGACGACAACAAGAGAGACGAAAGGUAGUGAAAGAAUGGGUUUGGAAAAAUGAGGUGGCGUGGAGGGAGGUGUGGUUGGUUUAUAAAUUAAUUUAAUUUUAUAAUAUAUUUAUCUAAUAAUAAUAUAUUAAUUAACAAAACAACUGAUUUUUGAAAUAGUGAUGAUUUAUGAAAAUGGGAAGUACCAAAAUGUAUCAUUUAGUUUUAAAUUAAAAGGUCCAUGAAAAAAUUUAAAUCAACAUUUAGUGUAUAUUUCAGGGAUAAACCAACCUCGACAUGCUCUAAAUUUAAUUCUUUUUGGUAUAUUACUUUAUGUAGAUAAACUAAUGUGAUCAACUUAAAAAUAUACUAUCAAAGGUAAGGAUAUGAGUUAAGUACUUAUCUCAAAAAUAAUAAUAAUAAUAAUAAAUAAAUAAUGGAGUUAAGGAGAUAUUAGAAUCAAUUAUAGACCUUAAUCGUCAUAAUUCACUUUCGCCACCUCAUCUUUUCUCUCAAGAUAGCACCUGUCAAUUCUUACUUGUCUUAACCUCAAGAGUGCAAAUCCUCUAGUAGCAUAUCCUAAGAAUAAACAGAGUAUUAUAGAAAUCUACCCUAUCAUCUUCAUUUAUCUUGUCUCCCAAAUAUAACUGAACAUGCUAUUAUUAUGUUAUUCUAAUACAGUCAAUUAAAGAUAAAGGUUAUGAUGGAGCAAGUAAUAUGGCACGUGAGUUCAAUGGCUUGAAAGCUUUAAUUUAAGAAAGAACCCAUAUGCUAUAUAUGUUCAUUGCUUUACUCACCAACUCCAGUUAGCAGUUGUUUCUAUGGCACGUUGGAACAAUAUGCUCGGCGAUUUAUUUAACAUGCUUGCCAUUAUUGUGAAUUUGGUUGGUGCAUCAUAUAAGCGUAUAGAUGCUCUUCGAGUACGUUACCAUUCACCAAGAGAUCAAGUAUAUUGCAUAUAGAGGGAAAUGUGCUUAAAAGCCUACUAUGUAAAGAUCAUAGCUAUGGGAACCCAACCUUGUUGACUCGAGAUCUUAAGAUUAUGGUUUAACGGAACAACUAAGUUACAAAGAUCCGUUAUAUGUAAUUUGUUUGUUACUAGCACAAAUGCUUGUGAUUAACAAGUUACUAAACUUAAAUCUAUGGACUCUAAUUAAUUUGAUUUGUUAGAAUAAUAAUUCAAUAAAAUAAUACACCUGUCAUAAAUAAAAUAUAUUAAUCAUAUUAAAAGUGUUUAUGCCAAAAAUUGAUUGAAUUUAGAACAUCACACUCACAAGAAGAAUGUGAUGUUAGGUGAUUCCUUCACGAUACCAGCACUUACAAAUUCGAUUUGAAUAUUUAUAUAAAACCGAAUAUACUUUUUAUUUCUAAAUAUAUAACUCGUGUUCGGUUAAGAUAAAAAUUAGAUUUUAAGUAAAUUUUGAUAAAAGUUGAGGAGUGUGAUAGAAAAGUUAUGGAUCCUUUGAAAUGGGUGGUAAAAGUUAAUUUUAAUUUUAACUUAAAUUUUUAAUCUACAUUUUUUUUGAACCAAACAAUGAUAGAUUGAGUAACUCAUUUGAAGUAAGAAAAAAAAAUAUUUUUCUAAAAUUUAUUAAGCCCUAAUUUGAUUUAGAAAGAUUUUAAGUGGAUUCUUAUAAAAAUUAAUAAAACGUGUAGUUGAAAAGUUUUGGAUACCAUGAAACAUGUGAUUAAAAUAAAUUGUUAACUAUAACUUAAGAUUUUUAAUUUGUUUCAAAUGAGGGCUAAGUAAAUAAUUUUGGAGGAGUCAAAGCCUAAUCUUCAUUUAUCAACUCUUAGAUGAAAAAAUAAAAUACAAUCAUUUAUCAUAUCUUUUUCUCAAUAAGGUGACAGCAAUGGAAUUUUAAUUUUUCUUCUAAUAUGUGUCAAAACAAUAAUUUCCUUAUAGAUCUCGUACUCUAACCACUUUCAUACUAGAUCUAAAGAAUGAAGCCUCAUUCGACACAAGAUCUCAAGACUUCCGUCCCUUGCAAUAGUAAUGCUCCCACUACUAGUUUUCUACACUGCCAAAGCUGUAUCAUUUGCUUAAACGAUAUUUCAAUUUUUUGAAGAACCCAACCAGUACACUCGUGUCCUUGGUCAAUCAAUUUAUGGUAGAUCACACUAUUCCUAUAUAUAUAUUUUUUAGAUGGUUUUUGAUCUAUGACCAACUGAUUUUGUAUCAAUUCAAGAUUUGUUGGACUGAAUUGGCUUAUUCGAUCUGAUUUUUAGAACAUUAGUUAUUACACAAUAACUAUGUAAUCAAAAUAAAUAUUAUAAUUGUUCGUACGAAACCCGCAAGCGUAUGGGAUCGUUGACAAGUAAUAUAUUUAGUGAGUUAAGAGUAUCGUCACAUGAUGAAUAAAACUUAAUUGAAUGCACUAGUAUUUAAUUAGAUUCAAAGUAAACGAAAUAAAAGUUUUUGUGAUUCUUAAUUAAUCAAAUGAAAAUUUAAUACAUGUAUGUGAAGAGUGUAUUGGAUUACGAGUUCACCUAUUAUUAUCUAUUUCAAUUUUUGACUACGUAACUAGUUUCAUUCUUGCAUUCUUGACAAUCGAUAAUUCGAUUGUAAUUAAUUUUUCUCCAAAACAAAUUAAAUAUGUCCUAUUCACAACCCGAAUAUAUUCCUAGUCCAAAUUUGAAUUAAUCGAACGCAUUCAAUUUCACAAUUAUCACAAAGAUUGCACACACGAUAAAUCUUAUUCCUAAAAUUUAUUGCACGCAUGUUAAUCGAGCAGUGUUCGGCACCUAUUGCUAGCCUCUCAGCAGUACAACAAGCAAUAAUAUAUUUAAUUGGUGAUCAAACAAUCAGAUAAUAAAAUUAAGUACGAAAGAUUAAUCAAGAAUUUCCAGAAUUUAACUAAAUCACGUGCCUUGAAUUAAAAAUAAAUAAUAAAGGGUUUCAUCUUCAUUCAAUACAUGAGAGGAAUUAGCCUAACACAAUCUUAGAACUAAACACGUAAAAAUGAAAAGACAUCACUAAGAAACUGACGAAAUGUGAUUAACAUCCAAAUUAAAGUUGCUGUCUUUUUCCCAAUAGUUGGCCAUUAAUUGUGUUCCACCAUCCUAAUUCUGCGUGUGUAUGAUAUAUAUAUCAAUCCCAAUCACAAAGCCCGUGUUUGUGUGUAUCUAUUAUUUUCCAAUUCUCAGCUGAGUGCACAUAGGUGUAUAUGUUCCCAACUAGGGCUGGGCAAAACUCCCAAACCGAAUUCGACGAUUCUUCUUAAAUUAAAUACCCUUACGGGUAUCUGAAUCGAGAACCGACGAAUACGGUUCGAUUCUUGGUUCUAGACCAAGUAUCGAAUCUUCUUAAUUUGUUUAUAUUGAAUAAAUCAAAUUAUGUUAAAUUUUUUCUAAACAAAUUAACAAAUUAAUUAAUUAGGUAAUUGAUUGAUACUUCAUCUCCCAUGCACAAGCCUAGCUAGUUUGACCCAACCCAACCAAUUACUAAAUCCAAUUUUUUGGCCCAAUUGAUGAUUAAAUCAAAUAGCUGGUAAGUAUUAGUAAUACUUAAAAAUAUUUUAUCUUUAUGACUUCUAAUUCAAGAAUUUUUUUUAUAUAGACUUGAAGGCUGAAGCAAAUGAAUUAUUGAUAUGAAUCGCCAAUAUUUUAGUAUUAUUAUCUAUUUUUUGGUAUUCGUAUAUGUUGGUAAAUUAAUCUUAUUGGAUAACUUGUUAUUUAUAUGUUUUUGAAUUGGACUUUGUUAAUUUGUAAAAGUUAUGAUUGAAUAUGUUAUUAGCUGUAUUUAUAUAAUAUUGUUGUAAAUGUUUAAAAUGUAAUUAUGGUACGGAACGGAACCGAAGCGGAUUGGUUCCAUAAUUAUAAUUGGACCUGACGAUUCCACUUACUAAAUACCCGAAAUUUUUGAUUUGGUUCGAUUUUAAAGAGAAUCGAACCGAAUUGAACCAUGCUCAACUCUAUUCCCAGCUGCCAUUUAUUGAUGUGUGUGUGUGUAUAUAUAUAUAUCAGCCUACUUCUCUGAUUUCUUUCUGCCGCCAGUUUGUAUGUAUGUCUCCCUAUAAAUUCCAAGUUUUUGCCUUUUUAUUUCCCUACUAGCUGCCGCCUCUCCUUCACUCCAAUUUGAAGUCCUCCCUUUUAUUUCCAGCCUGCCGUAUGUUGUACAUAUACAUAAUCCCUUAACCCCAAUCAGUUUUUGGUCUAAUUAGGAGUCUAAUUCCUCGGGUAAAUUACAAAAAACUAGAGUCUAGCCCAUGUUUCUUUUCUAAUCCAGCAAUUUGGUUGGAUUUAUUCCAAUUAAAAUCCAACUGCUUUUAAUUUUUAUUCCAAAUACAAGUCCAAACUUGAUGCCCAUCUAAUGUAUACUUUUCUUCAAACAAGCCCUUCACUUUCCAAAGUAUGAAAUUUGAUCCCCAAACUUUGCAUCAAAUAGCCAAUUAAUCCUCCAUCCUUUUCCAAAUGCUUCAAAUGAGUCAAUCACUAAAAGCACAAUAAAAAUUAACCUAAGUUAAAUAGAAAUUAAUAAAUUGAUGACAUAAAAGUUUAAUAAAAUUGUCUAAAUAAGUGUACAAAUUGCACUCAUCAAUAAUCAAUUAUAAAACAAAAAAAAAAAAAGAAAUUUUUUUUCCACCUUCCGAUUAAAUGGUAUGGCUGAUGUAUGACACUAUGAUUGGCUAUAAUCAUUCGUGAUGUGUUCGAGGAAUUGGGGACAAAGUCCCCCUCCUUGCUCCAUUCAUCAUUUGGGAUGAAAAAAAUGUGGUAUAGUUGUCAUCCCUCUAUGACACAAUCCGAAUUUCUUGGCACGACACAAUAAAACGAAGGGCCAACCGUGUUAAUUAUCAAUCAUGGGUCUUAUCCUCAAUGUUAGCUAUGCAUAUUUUUAAUUUCAGAUAAGUAUAAAACAAUCAAUAUAAAAGUGCAACAUAAUAUUUGACCCCCAUUUUAGACCAAGCUAAUGGAAUAUUUGAACAUAAGCCUUUAAAAGUGACCAAAUAUGCUAAUUAAUGGAAAAAUUGGAGAUAAAAGCGAUAAAGAACUUAUAGGAACAUAAAUGCGACAAUAAGAAAAAUUAGAAGCAUGUAAUGCAAUUAAAAAGUGGUGCACUGGAAGAAACACAUGUAUGAUAAUAUAACCAUCCUCGUCAUAAAUCUCAAAUAAAAUGAUUAAUUUUUUAAAGUAAUUUACCCCAUUUUAAGGUGAUUGUGUUCUAUGAAAAGCUUAAUACUUAUUACACUUACAAGUAAAUCAUGAUUUAAACCUAUUUUUGCACACUUAAUAAAUAUUCUAACUAAUCAAGCGAGAUACGGAUUAAAUUCUAGUUCAUUAAAUCUAUAAAUGCUACCAUCGCAAUGGUUAACCUAAAUGGCAUAAUGAUGAACUCAUAAUGUCCGUAACGAAUUCUCAAUGCUGCCUUUGGAAUAUCACAAUUCUAAUCUUGAGCUGGUGAUAACUGAUAAUUUGACAUUAAAUCUCUUUUAGAGUAUACAUCUGUACCACUAAGUUGAUCAAAUAAAUCAUCUAUUUCUAAAAAUGGGGCAAUUAUUCUUAAUAGUAAAGUAAUUUAAAUUUCUAUAAUCGAUGCAUAUCAUCAUCGAUUCGUACUUUUUGUUGUCAAAAGGCGUUGGACUUCUAAAGGAGACACUAUGGUCGAAUAAAUCUUUUAGUCCAGCAAUUCCUACAUUUUUAUUUUCAACUCCUGCAGCCCUUAGUAGCCAUUCUGUAUUAUGCUUUGGAUAGCCAUUCUAUAUGGUGUUUCAGAUACCGUUACACUAUGUGGAAUAAUUCAAUCGAGAACUUCAUUUGCCCAUUUGCCAGUGUGCCAUAGAAAUCAGUAAAGCAUGAACUUAUCUUCUAAUAUAAAUAAUUGCACGGUCUCACGAAAAUAAUGGAAAGGAGUUGCAAGAAAAUUCUCCCUGGUACUAAUGAGUCUUAAGAUUGGCUAUCAGUUUAAACUUACAUCUUGAUAUUUUUUGUUAAUCAAGUUAAGUUACACAUUUCAUGACUUUUAAAUGAUUUAUGGGCUGACUUUUAACUGAUUUAUAGUCUUUAAAUACAUUCUCCUUACGUCUCCCUAUUCAUGCAUUUUGUAAGUGAACCCACAAUAUUAUCUCUUAACUUUACAUAAUCAAUCGAUAUUGUUGGAUUUUUGAUACCUAAUAAAUCCCCGGCUAUGAUAUUAACGUAGGUUUAUAUAUUUCAUAGGCAUAGACCAAUGAAUAAAAUAAGUCCAACAACCAAGUCCAUGAGCUCCACCAAUCCAAUUGUAUUCCAUCUUAGAUGGCUUGAAUCUUGGUCAGUUUACCUCUUUCUUGGUCCAAUUAAAAAGCCAACCCUAGCAUGCUUAUAAGAAAUAAAACCUAGCCACUUCCUAGUAUGAUUUGUGCGGUUUUGUGUGUGAGAAAAGGAGAAUCCCAGUUGCCCCUUGAAGUGUGUGAAAAGGCCCCUAGAAGUGUCCAAAACGCUUGUUUACUUCAUGUAAUUGGUGGUUCCUUCAUAGCCUACCUUUGUAGUGUUUUCUCCUUACCUUUGUGGCCACAAAUCAUACUGUUUCUUGUCCUUCGUGGGUAAGAUUGAAUAGCAAUCGAGGUGAAUUAUAUUGGUUGUGGAUUGAAGCCGGUUGGAUUGGUUGUUGGUAGAGAAAGAUAUGUUGGACUUAGCCCCAAAAAUACCGAUUUGAAGAUCCUCGAAGAGAGCUUCUGCAACAUUUGGUGUAUUAGAGCUUCAAGGUGAUGAUUUUGGCUCAUGAAAUACACCAGAAAACGACUUGAAAAUUGGCAGAAAUGAAGCAGAAAUCAGAUCGAAGAAGAUGUCCAGAAAAUUGUGCAAAAUUCGAAUUUGUUUGUGUAAUUUCUGAACAAUCUAAAAGGAGUUUGAUAAAACGGAGACCACUGGUAUGACAUGCAGGUAAAGCUCCCCUGAGGCACAUGUGGCAACGCAUGAGGCCCACGCUUCGCGACAUACACAGAGACUUUGGACGGCACGUGAGGGCACGUCCUGUAUUUUCUGACGACGAGGUCUUCAGGCAGUUUGUUUCUCACAUUUUUUUCUGAGAUUUUGGUAUUGGAAGUUUUCUAUUUCAGGUUGUGUAGUAGAGUCUAGAUGAAGUUGUUCUUUGGAUGGUUGGGAUUCGAUCAUGGUUUGUUGGUUGUUACAGUUUCUCGAGACUUUAGAAUAAAUAGUAAUGGUCCUAAAAUGAUAAAUUCGCGUCUCUCAAAUUUACGGACUCAGAUUGGUCCGCUCUUAUAUAUUUGCUUAUCUUAAUUUAAAUUUCAGUAUUAGCGCAUCAUCGUGUGGGUGAUAUUAGGUUUGUGGUUAUUGUGAAGGGGUAACAUUGCGUGUGCAAGAAAUUUAGGAGUUGCUCGCCAUAUUUGAAGUAUUGAGUUUUGAUUGCAAGUUGGUAGUUGAUUUUGUACUUUAACUAUCAUAUAGUCACUGUGUGAAACUGUGUUGCGUGAAAAUUCAAACUUUUGUUUACAUACCUUAGUAUUGCAUUGAUUAUCCAGUUAGAAUGCUCGAACUUUACCCGUUCAAACAUUCCCUUGAUCUAAGAUCGUGAAUAUUACGAAACCUUGAGAAUCUAGAAUGGUGUAUAUUACGGCCUUAGGAUUACUUUGUGUGACCUAUCUGCGUAUUUGGUUAUUUUAUUUUCUUAAAAAUGUUUUCACACUUUAAAGUUGAAAUAAAAAUGUUUUCACACUUUAAAGUUGAAAUUUUUAAUAGGAAAUGAGAUUUUUCAAUUAAGUCAACAAAAAGUUUCAAAAGCCAUAGAUGGCAAAUUUUCUGCAAACUUAACAGAAGCACAAAAAUAAGAGUAUGAUGAACUUGCAUACACUUUAAUUAUUUUACUAUUUUGAGAAAAGCUGGAAAACUCAAUUUUACCAAAGAACUUUGGAAAAAGUUGGAAGACUUGUAUUUGCUUAAGUCUACUCAUAAUAAAUUGUACUUGCUUAAAUGAUUUUUUAGCUUUAAAAUAGAUCCUUCAAAGGAUCUUGAUGACAAUCUAGAUAUCUUUAACAAAUUAGUUCAAGACAUUGUUAAUUGUGAUGAAAAGGUCUCUGAAACAAAUAAGGAUAUUAUCAUGCCUAAUUCCAUGCCCGAUUCAUAUAGAGAGGUUAAGAAUGUAAUUAAGUAUGGUGGAGAAUCUUAACACCCGAAAUUAUCAUAGACUCACUUAGGAGUAAGGAGAUGGAGAUUAAGGCAGAAAAAGAGGAUAAGAGGUGUGGGGAGUUACAUAUGAUGAGGAGUAGGAUGAAGUUUAAGCAAAUGAGUCUGGGUAGAACUCAAGACAGUAGGGAUUCGAGUAGUGACUCGAGUGAUGAGGGUAGUAAGAAGAAGGGCAAGAGAUGUGACAAGUCUAGUGGUAGACGGUGUUAUAUUUGUGAUAAGUCUGGACACUUUAUUAGGGACUGUCCUAAGAAAAAGGGUAAGAUGAGAGGUGAGGCGAAUUUGGCUUUAGGGUCGAGUGAUGACCCUAGUGAGGUUUAUUGAGAUUAAACCUAGUUACUGAAUGUGCAUUUGUCUGUGAUCCUUUCUACAUGCGUGUGAUUGCCUAAUUCUUGUUGCAUGAUUAUAUGCUACAUUUCAAAGUGUUUGAUAUGUGCAUUUGCAUGAAUUUGAGGUAAUAUGAUUACUUGGUGUAAUUGUUUGCAUGCAUAGUGGAUUAAGAUGCAUCUGCGGUGUGGUGUAUAUCUUUCGGUGAGGUGGAGUAUAGAUGCCUAGAGGUACAUUGUAGUCUAUAGAUGUCGAGUGUGACAUUUGGAUCACGAGUGAAGAUAUGAUUAGAUGCUUGGAAUCCUUUAUCUGUAAAGAAACACUGAUCAGUUGGAAUGUGAGAGAGGCAUUUAUGUUACUUCUGUUAGGUGGAGACCCAUUAUCUAUGUAGGUUGGGAAAAGUGAUGUGGUAAUAGAGGAUUAUCCCAUGGACUAAGGAUCUAUUGUGACCUACCAGCUAGACAUGAAUUUCGUGAUCAGUCUAGUGAGCAUGGUGGGCGAUGAGAGGAGAUAUGUAUUCUCAAGGAGUGAGCAACAUGGAAUGAGAUAGGAUAAGUGUGUUGAAAUCUUUUCGUGGAGUCAUUUAUGCAUUUGUUGCAUAUCUAGUUGACCGUGUGUUUGAUUAACUUGGUGUUAAUCUGUGGUUCAAUGUGAACGUGUUUUUGAAAAGAUCUAUGUGUAACAUCUUAUAAUAUAUCAUCAUCACAUGUGUAUUUGCUCUUGAUUGUUUACUGUUGAAUAUUUGCUUCUAUUUGGCUAUUCUUGACCUUAACCCAGGUAAGUACAUGGAACAGGUAUGAUAUGUGUUUCAAGUUGGAAACAUGAGGUAAGGUUUGCGAUCCAAUUUUAUUGACUACCUUGAUUAUGCAAAUGAUAACUGUGUGUUUUGAUUUCUUGUAGAUUUAUUGGGCAUCAAGGUGGAGAUUUGUUAGGUUUUUGAUACCCAAUAAAUCCCUGGCUAUAAUAUUAACGUGGUUUAAUAUAUUUUAUAGGCAUAAACCGAUGAAUGAAAUAAGUCCAACAACCAAAUCUAUGAGCACCACCCGUCCAAUUGUAUUCCCUUUUGGAUGACUUGAAUCUUGGCUCGUUUACCUUUUUUUUGGUCCAAUUAAAAAGCCUAAUCCUAUCAUACUUAUAAGGAAUAAAACCUAGCCACUUCCUAGUAUGAUUUGUGUGGUUUUGUGUGUGACAAAAGGAGAAUCCCGACUAUGCCUUGAAGUGUGUGAAAAAUGGCCCUUAGAAGUGUCCAAAACGCUUAUUUACUUUGUGUAAUUGGUGGUUCCUUCAUAGCCUACCUUUGUGGCAUUUUCUCCUUGCCUUUGUGGCCAUAAAUCAUCACUGUUUCUUGUCUUUUGUGGGUAAGAUUGAAUAAUAAUCAAGGUGAAUUACACUGGUUGUGGAUCAGAGUCGGUUGGAUUGGUUGUUGGUAGAGAAAGGUAUGUUGAAUUGAGCCCGAAAAACAUCGAUUUGAAGAUUCUUGAAGAGUGCUUCCGCAACCGAGAUAAUUCUAUAUGAAGAGAUUAAGCCCAUGUUUGGGCUCAUAUUUUUAUGAGGUUUUGGGAAAAAUAUAUUUUGGAAUAGAAAUUUUUUUUACAAAGAACCACACUCAAGUUCCGUCGCUUUUGGUCUGCUGAAUGUGUGGUUAAAAAUUAAAAAAUUAGAUUUAUGUGUAAUAUUAUUUUAUCGAAAAGUGUUGAAUAAAAAGAAUAUAUUAAGGCCCUAUUUCAGUCGCAAUUUUCAAUGAAAUACAUUUUUAAAUAGUGAUUUGACAUCAUUUUAACCACGUAUUCUUUAUUAAAAUAAUAUUACACGCAAAUUUAAAACUUUUUCUCAUUUUUUAGCUACAUAUUCUCCAUUAAUCUACUAUUCCAGAAUACAUUUUUUUCAAGAUAAUGUGGCUCAAACACACACUAAAACUAAAAUAAAGCCAAAUAGAAGCUAAGUAUGAACAAUAUUAUAUCUACAGUGUGUAUUUGUGUUUCGAAAAGGAGUCAUAAUAAAUAAAGGAAAGCUGAACGAACAAAAAAAUAAGCACAAUGAGUGAGAACGUGGCCUUUCACGAUUUGCAAAACCAUAGCCUAGAUUGCUUAAACAUGGGUACCCAGCAAACCAUAAUUCAGCCACGGCUGCGAUUAAACCAAUAUCCCACAACUAUUAAUUUAUCUUUAUUUAGUUCCAAAAUACAGUUUUUCGUACGGGUUUGGUCCUUUUUUUUCUUUUUGUUCCAAACUUCAAUUUUGAUACAAAACCUUAAAAAUCUUCUAGUGGUCUCCAAAACUACAUAAUAGUAUGAAAUAGCUACUUAAAAAUUUCAAAAGUGUGCAAUUUAGUCCCAAAACUAUUCAAAAGUUCAAUUUCACUCCCAAAACCAUUUGAUUGCUCUAUUAAUACUUCUCACUCCCAUCCAAACCAACUAUUUAAUUUCUAUGAACCAACUAUAAAUUAGCUUAAAAUCAUCCAUCUUCACACCAAUUGUAUCAAAGUUCGAAUUCUACCAACAAUUAACAAAAUUACAUUAAAUUAAGUAGAAAUUUACACAAAUAUAUCCAAGUUUAAUAACAUAAAAUAAAUACAUAAAAACAUAUAGCAUAAAAUAAAUAUAUAAAAACAUACUUAUCAGUCAAUUGUUGAUAAACAUCGAAGACCCUAUUUAUAUAUUUUUUCCUACAUAAAGCCCUGUAGAAAUUAUGACUAAUCUUAAAUUAGAUCUUCUUUAACGGCUUCACCAAAAGUUUUCAAACCAAGUGAACACUAUGAAGCUGCCGGAACCUAUACUUUUGGGUCACAGCAUGACUAGGGAAAUUUCUGUUCAUCCAGAAAUCCCUACUGACUCAAUAUAUCCAUAUCUCUUUUUCUAUGUAUAUAUAUAUAUGAUAAGAAAGAAAGAAAAAAUAUGUUCAACGGAGUUUGAUCAAUUAGGAUACUACUCACAACGACAGCUUUUUUUUGGGGUGCAGAAACUCCAAUAACACAUGUUGAUUCCAAAUCGAAUUUUAAAGAACUAUAUUAUAUGACAAUAUUAAAGUAUACUAGAUCAACACCGAAAAACAAGGUUUAGAAGUAAAGAAAAAUACAAAGGAUUAAAGGCAAAGGACGAUGUUUAUUAAUUCAACACUAUAGAGAAUACAAAGUAAUUUAGCGAUUGGCUUCUAUCUGUUACACUACCUAAACUAACAAAGGAGGCUAAUAUUUAUACUACACGACCAAGCCCUAAGUAGAGUCCCAAAAGGUAAGAAAUUAGGUUACAAUUAGGAAUUUGAUCUCCGUUCCAACUCUAGUCAAAUUAUGCUUCUUUAAUUCUUAAUUUGAGUCACAUUCCUAACAAUCUCCAUCUUGACUCAAAUUUCGAUGCAACGAACGAAACUCCUAGAUUUUAAAUCCAUUUGUAACGAAAUGAACUGACCGAAUCUCCUCAACACGGUAACUACUCUAUAUAAACUAAACACUCCUCCUCUGUCCCGUAUCCACAAUCGAUGCCCAAACCCAAUAUCCGGGUUCCCAAUUCUACCAAGGAAUUAAUAUUGAUCACACAGUCCGAAGCACACCUUGUAGCAAGAACCAAACUAGAUGCUUGAUCAGAAGGCCAUUUGCUGGAAUUAUCGCCUUCAACAUUCCCAGAAGCAUCCCAGACAUUACUGACACCACAGUACUUACGCUCGAUGAGUCCUAUCCUACAUAGUGUACCUGCUGAAAUUAGUGGCAAAGUGGGAUCACCAACGCUCUCCCUAGCAGUGUUCUGAACCGACUUAGAGCCCAAUCCAAGAGGUACUGUGCUAAACUGAAAUUUCACCACGGUAUUAAACUUGUCCAAAUGUUUCCUAAUCGAUUUUGUACUCCCUGUAAAAUCUACAACUGGGAUCUCCUCCAUCUCUCCAAUGCAACUCAAACUUCCUUUCGGACCUUCAAGACUUCACCUCAUCCAGAGAAUUUAUACCCUUUUGAAUCCAGCGUACUUAGCGAAAUGAGAUUCCUUUUCAGGUCAGGAACAUGUCGAACCUGAUCAAUUGUUCUAAAUGUUCCAUCCCGUAGUCUCAAUCUGACUCGACAGAUCCCAGCAAUACGGUAAGAUUGGUUGUUUCCCAUUACAACUCCACCUUGCUAAACAACCUCAUAUAUCCGAAAUAAAUUUCUAUCGAAACACAUAUGUUGUGAACAUGCUGAAUCAAGAAUCCACUCCUCGUCAGGCCUAGACUCCACAUCAGAUACCACAGUCAGCAUCACUUUUUCCCCAUCUGAAUAAUUCUCAGCUACAUUGGUUUCGUCAGAAUUCAAAGGUUGCACCCACGAUUUGCAACUAAAUCACCUUUAGCCUGCAACAUAUCGCAAUCCUUCCGAAUAUGUCCCUUUCUUUUGUAGUAGUAACAAAUCACAUUGCUAAAUUUGACUCUCAAUCUGCCUCUUCGUCAACCACCUUGAGAUACAAGAGCUUUUCCAUCCCUUGAUAUAGUUCCAACCAAAUGCUUCAUCUUUUCCUUUGUGUGCAAAGCAUCAUUGACAUCUUCUAUAGUGAAAGUAUCUCGACUAUAAAAGAUAGUAUCAUAAACCGACACAUAAGACCCACCAAUGAACAUAAGAGGAUCAAGGCAAGAUCCUCUUCAACAUACUCAACCUCUAACAUCUCCAGGUCUGCAACUAUUUCUUUGAACAUGGCAACAUGGUCUUCCAACGACUCUCUUUUUGCCAUGAGAUGUGAAUACAGUUUUUGCUUAAGAGCCAAUUUACUUGUAAGACUCUUAGUCAUAUACAACUGCUCCAACCUCAACCACAAAGCAGCCACCGUUCUCUCCUUCAAAACAUCUUGGAGAAUGUUGUUGGAUAGAUAAAGAUGAAUCAAUGACGUAGCCUUCCGAUCAUUCCAUUGUUUCUCCUCCAUUGUCCAUCCAGCUGGAAUCCUGUCAAAACUCAGCAACGCAUCUUCCAAAUCCAACUGCGCCAUAAUAGCCCUCAUCUUUACUUGCCACAACAAGAACUUUGUAUUGCGAUCUAAUUGUGGAAUAUCAUACUUCAACUCGGCCAUCUAGGAAAAAACAUCUCAACCAAUCCACCGAAAAUCAACAACCUAGCUUUGAUACAACUUGUUGGGGCGCAGAAGCUCCAAUAACACACUUUGAUCCCAAAUCGAAUUUUAAAGAACUAGAUUAUACGACAAUAUUGAAGUAUACUAGAUCACACAUUGAAAAAUAGGAUUUAGAAGUAAAGAAAAAUACAAUGGAUUAAUGGCAAAGGACGAUGUUUAUUAAUUCAACAAUAUAUAGAAUACAAAGCAAUUUAGCAAUUGACUUCUAUUUGUUACACAACCUAAACUAACUAAGGAGCCUAAUAUUUAUACUAAAUGGCCAAACCUUAUGUAGAGUCACAAAAGGUUAGAAAUUAGGUUACAAUUAAGUAUUUGAUCUCAUUUCCCACUCUAGUCAAAUUAUGUUUCUUUAAUCUCCAAAUUUGAGUCACAUUCCUAACAGUUUUCUCCUCAAAAUUGCCAAAUAACAUGAGCAGGAGAGUUUGUGGAGUCAGAUUUGCACAAGUCAUGUUAGGGCCUAAUCAACCUCAGAGCACUGAGAAAAUGGACCAGUCUCAGGAAUCAAAAAAUCAAAGAGGGUUGGUUUUCAACUCUUGUUUUCUUUUUGUUUUCGUGUCAUAAAAUGAUGGGCUUUUGUUAAUCUUGGAGGUAUAGUUAGAUAGAUAGAUAUUUCACUUUUGAGGACGAAAAACUUUGCUAGGGUUGUCGAGGAAUUUUUUAAGAUAAAAAGUUUCAAUCCUUGCAAGUGAAAUUUCUUGUUGUGUAUAUAAAUAUGUACCAGUGUUUGAGUUCAACAAGGUUUCGAAAUUAGGGAAACGAUUGCCUCAUUUGGUGAAGGAUAUGCAAUGAGGUCUAAUGAAGAAGGAUUUGGAGGAAUCUAUGGAGGGAACCGGAUUAUUUCCAAGGAGGAUGAGGAAAAAAUUGUUCAUGGAAAUGUCCCGGGUACGUUCUCUUUCUUUCUUCAAUCACCGUCCUCCAGUCUCUAAACACUCCUUAUCAGAUUCAUAGUGCCGGAUUAAAAUCUAAAUUAUAAACAAUUCAUUUUAACUAAGUAUUUUAUGUCCAAUCAUACAUUGCAACCAUAAUUUUUCAACCACACAUUUCAUCACAUUUUAUCAGUGUGUGCUAAAAAUCUUAUUUUAAUUCCCGGGCUCUACUCGUAAAUUGGUAUGACAAUUCAAAAAAUUUUGCCUAAAUUUUUUUAAUUUGACAUUGAGAAAACUUUAGGAAAAAAAAAUUUAAUCAUUAUAUUUGGAAACUUGAAUUAAGAACUGAAUAUUAUUAUGAACUUUUUGUAGGUUUGGCUUUAGGAAACAAUUUACAUAAUUUCAGACUUAGUUCUUAUAUUGCAAUAAAAUUACUAAACUAUGUCAAACAUUUUUUUAUAAUUAAAAAUUAAAAAUUCAAAAAUAAAUACAAUUUUUGAGAUCCUUUACGCCAGCGUAUUCAAGGUUUUCUUUCCCAUUCUUUAGCCUAGGUUUAGAAAAAAUGUUUUGUGACAAAUUUGUCUUUGAUUAUCUUAAAAAUAAAGAUAUUUCUUGAAUUGAUGGCUGAAGUCUAGAUCUGGAUCAUUUGUUUAGGAUGAAGAAUACGACAAAUCUCAAGGGAGUGAAGUGAAGGAGAAGGAAAGAGUGAUUAGCCAGAACAAAGUUGAAUCGUAAAGCUAAGGGAUCAUUUCAGUUUAAUUCAAGGCCAAAAUUACAUUAAUUUCCUUUUAUUCUUUUUUUCCCUUUAAUGAUGGGCAUUUCAUAGUGAUAAAAAGAUUGUAAUGAAUAAGAGGAUUUUGGACGUCUAAUUUCCACUUGCACUUGGUCUUGAUGGGACACAUUCAUUUGUGUCAUUUUAUUUAUUUAUUUAUUAUUUUAAAUUCUUUGAGAAUGCUUGACAUUUGCUUUACAAGUGGUUAAUAUAACAUUUGUAUAUGUUAAAAUAUUUAACCUAGUUAACUGCAUUUUUGGCAUAUUAUAGUUUACUGAAACAAACGAUCAAAAGUUUUUUUUAAGAGUUUUGUAAGAACUAUAUGUAUAAUUUUACAUCAGAUUUUGAGAAGUAACAAAUUGCUGUUAGUUUCUUAACGAUCUAUAAUUAAAAUACUGAAUUUUACCUUAUAUUGAUUAUUUCUUUUCUACUGUUUAGUCUAUGUUUUAGUUUCAUAAUUGUACUACUAACGAUGACGAUAAUCACAAGUAUAAUAGAUAUCAAUUUUAAUAAUUUUAUACACACACGUUAAUAAUUCAUUCAUUCAUUUAUUUUGUUUAUAAAAGAUUAAAUGUUAAAUUUGAAAUAUAUAGUUUUUAUUGGAAAAUGUUUUCUAAGUAUUAAUUUAUUUUUGUAGCUAGUUAUAUGUGAUCCGCGAAUUUAUAGGCACAAAGCGAUGCGAGAGGAAAGAGAGCAUGCCAGCAUGGAUCUUUUCUUAUUUAAUUAGAAUGACGAGGCUUUUUCACGCAUUUCUAGGGUAAAGGCUCUUAGUAAUAAGAGAAUGAAUAAAAAUGUUGUCGGAUGUCAAAUUUCCACUUGCCACUUGGUACAGAAGGGACACAUUCAUUUGUGUGUGUGUAGUUCUUUGAAUGCAUAACAUUAAUAUAAAUGAACUUACGUCUAUAAGUUCUUAACAAGUUGUUAAUAUUACAUUUGUAUAUGUUAAAAUAUUUAACAUAGCUAAUUGCAUUUUUGCUUGUUACAAUAUUCAUUGUUUCUGAACAAUAAAUAGUGAUUCGUUGUUACACUAUUUAUUAAUUUGUUGUUUUUGAAGAGCAAUAAUAAAAUAUAACGUGCUCUCAAAAUAACACAUAUCCUAAAUAAUGUAUAUUUUAUUGUGUUCUUGAAGAAACUCAAAUUAAACAAUUCAGUAUUGGAUUGUAAUUUUAAAGAAAGUUAAUUUUCUAUAUUAUUAAUAUUCAAGAAGAAUAUUAAUUUAUCGCUCUUGAAGAGCAUGAAUUAUAAUUUCAAUAUUUUUGAAAAAUAUCGACAUAUUGCUCUUAAAGAAAGAUAAUAUGCUUUUGAAGUAGCACAUUUUCGAAAUAUAUAUCUUUUUGAAUUCAUGUUUAUCUCUGAAGGAAAACAUAUAACUAAUAGCAUAAAGACAUUGAUUAGUUUAACUAAUUGAAUGAUAUAUGAUUAUAUGAGCUUUAAUCGUAUUCUUCUAAAUUAAAUUGAAUUAUAUCUUAUAUUUAAUGAAGAACCAAAUGAUUCUUCAAUUUAAUCAUAUAUGACGUUUUUGAUGAAUUUUUUCUUUAACCAUCACUAGCUAAAAUAGGGAUUGAAUCCACUAUAUUUCUUCAAAUUAAUUAGGGUGAUAAAUGGGGGCCCAUCAUCCUUCACGUUAAUCAUCUAAAUAUUAUUUGUAUCUAAUCUAUUAGAUAUCUAAACCUAAGACAUUAUUGCUAAGUUAAACUUUUUGUUCCAUUUCUUUGGUGCUUGUUUUAAUCCACAAAUUAGGAUUUUAUUGGCUUGCAUACUUUAUCUUCAUAUUCGAUAGAAAAAAUCAUUUUGGUUGUUCCAUAUAGACUUCCUCAUUGAGAUUCCCAUUUAAGAACGUCAUUCUAAUAUGCAUUUGAUGUUUAUGCAAAUCAUAGAUUGAAGCUAAAGCGGAUAUAAUCCUGAUUGAUAUUAUUCGUACGACUGGUGCAUAUGUGUCAAAGUAAUCUUUUCCUUCUUUUUGUCAAUUUUAUUUAGCCACUAACCUAGAUUUAAAAGUAUUAAGAGUAUCGUCUGCAUUGUACUUCCUCCAAAAUACCCAUUUGCUGGUAUAGGUUUUGAUCCAAGUGGUAAAUCAACUAAUUUUCAAGUGUUGCUUGACAUUGUUGACUCAAUUUCAUCAUUUACACCAUCCUUUCAAAAGAUGCUAUCUCUAGAUGACAUUGCUUCUUGAUAAGUUUUCGGAUCAGUUUUCACUUGAAGAACAUAAGGAAUAGUUCCUGUGACAUUUUUCUCAUUUCCCUCAACUAAAUAAAAAGAAAUAAGUUGAAAACCUAAUUCAUCUGGUCCUAGCACUUUUCCCUUUUGAGGUCUUUUGCUUCUGCGAAGUUCACUUAUUUCUACAUCCUCUGAAGGCAUUUUUACUUGUGAUUUUGUAGAGCUAGGAAUCUCCAUUUGAGAUUAUCUUAGAGAAUUAUUAUCUGAAGAUAACAUAUUCUCAAAUAACGCCGCUUCACUAGAUUCAAUACUAACAUUGGUUUCCAAGUUUAAUAAAUGAUAUGCCAUAUUAUUUUGGGCAUAUCCUACAAAAGCAUAUUUGAACCCUCUAGGACUCAACCUAAUUCUUUUAGGAUUCAUGUUUUUACUAUAAGCAAGACAGCCACACACUUUGAAAUAACAAAUAUUCGUUUUUCUCCCUUUCCACAAUUCAUAUGGAGAAACCUCAAAUCUUUUAGAAGGAAUCUUGUUAAUCAUGUGACCUGCACUUAAUAAAGUUUCACUCCAUAAGUUAGAUGGCAACUUAGCAUUUAUAAAUAGCACUUAUAAUUUUAACUAGUAACCUAUUCUUUCUCUUAGCCAAAUCAUUUUGCUCGGUGUUUUAGGUGCACUACAUUCAUAUUAUGCCAUAUUGUUCACAAAAAAUAUUAAUUUGCUGGAGAAAUAUUCAUCUCCCCUAUCGCUUCUGUGAAUUUUAAUCCUUCUAUCUAAUUGAUUUUCAGCUUUGACUUUGUAUAUUUUAAAUAUGUUAAAAGGCUUUACCUUUAUGUUUUAUCAAGUAGAUAUAGCAAAAUCUAGAAUGAUUAUCUAUGAAUGUUAUCUAUAACCUCAUCUAAUUAUCAUUCCAUUUAAUUUACAUAUAUAGAAAUGAAUAAAGUCAAGGAAAUUAGAUUUCCUUUCAACACUAUGAAAAUGUUUCUUAAUCAUUUUAGACUUAGUACACGAUCACAUUUGUUAUAUUCUAUGUUUUCGCAUGAAAUCAUUCUGAUUUAAAUAUUUCUUUUUUAAAGUAGAAAUGCUAGCAUAUCAUAGUCUAUCAUACCAUAAAGAAAUUAACUCAACAACAUAAUUUAAAUUUAUUGUUUUAUUGAUAUUAUCGUUAAUAGUACAAAAUUUGACCAUUCCAUCAUUAGGAUAGCCUUUUCCAACAAAUACACAAUUUCAGGAAAGUAUAAGUUUGCUCGACUCAUAUAUCGACUUUAUUCUUGAUUUUCCCAACAAGUCAUCAUUUGCAAGAUUUCUAUUCAUAUCCGAUACAUGUAAUACUUUUAUUAAUGUGAUCUUCUUGUCGGAUGUAAAUUGUAAGUAUACGCUUUCUUUGCUAAUAACCUUUGAUCGAACUUCAUUCCUCAUUUGAAUGUCAUCUACUUCUUGAUAAAUAUUGAAAUGAGAUCUCUCAUAGCACACAUGUAUGGUGGCACAAGUGUCAUACCACCAUCCUUGAACCUUUUCUUUGACCUAAUUUAUAGUGCUCAUGGUAGCAAUGAUGUGUCAAUGGAGUUCACUUUACCUUCUUGCAUUAUUUGUUUACAAUGUCUACAAUUCCAAGCAUAAUAUCCAAAUUUUCCACACACAUUGCACAUAACAAGAAAUUUUAUAUUUCUUCUUAUUCUUGUUAUCUUUGUUGGGGUUUGUGGAUUUCAUCUUCUUGGAAUCUUAAUUUUAUUUGUUUGGUUGAUCCAUGGCAUGAUAUUUGGAAAUGCCCUCAUGAGAAUGCUCUUUUCCAUCUCAUGCCCUUGACUCUUCCUCAAUUUACAGAUGUUUUUUAAUUUCUUUCAGAAAAUAAUCAUUAGAAUUGUAAGGAUUUUCUUCAUUUAACAUUUCCAUAAAGAUGACAAUAUUAAUUUGACUGCACCAACUUGGUAAGUUUAAGGAAGAUCUGUCUUCAUGGCUUUAUUUUAUUGACAAUAAUUUGCAACCCAUGGACUUGUCCUAACAAAGGCAAGUUAUCCAAAUACUUGAAAUCAAAAUACAUAGAAAUAAAAAACUUUUGGUACCUUCCUCCUCGGCCUUGCAUUGGGUUUCCAACAAUUCACAUAUCUCAUUUGUCGAGGUGUCUCUACUUAUUCCUUUUCAUCCUUAUUUCAUCGAUGUCAUGUUGGGUUGGUUUUGGUAAUGGCACUAAGUCUUGAUCCAAGAUAUAGAAGACCUUUAAGGUUGUAAGAAGAAACUUCCACUAUUAAAAAUAGCUUUGAAUCCACGGCAAAUUACCAACGGAUUGCAUCCAUUGGUAAUUAGAAACGGAUUUUCCGUUGGUAAAAGUUAUUCACUUUCAGCUACGAUAAUCAGCAACGGAUUUUCUGUUGAUAACGAUGAUAUUUCUUUACCAACGGAUAUUUCGUGCCUCAUGUAAUCAUUUAAUAUUUGGAUCUUUCACCUACGGAAUGUCUGUAGGUGACGUAAACGGAUAUUCACUUUUAACUACGAUAAUCAUCAACGGAUUUUUCAUUGGUAACGAUGAUAUCUCUUUACCAACGGAUAUUUCGUGCUUCAUAUAAUCGUUUAACAUUUGGAUCUUUCACUACGGAUAUUUCAUUGGUAAUUAAAAAUGGAUUAUCCGUUAGUAAAAGUAAUUCACUUAUCCCAUAUCGAAAGUUCACAACAAAAUCUUCGGAGUUGCCACCUAUAAAUUAAUUUGUGGUCCAAUAAGUGAUAAAAAAAAAUCUUGGUUUGAUCUUGGAUUUUAGAUGUAAUGGAAUGAAUUUGAUGUUUGUGAUAUGUUUUUAAUUAUGAAAACCACUAAUAUAUAUGAAAUUAUAAUCACCAUGCUCGAAAAAGUGCAAAAACCAACCUAAAAGGAUGUAAAACUCUUCAAAAAGACACUGGAAUGCAAAAUGCCAAGGGCAAAUUUUUGUUUGGACCCUCGCCUAGUUCAACAAAAUGAUCACUAUAACUACGACACAAGAUGAAAGAUCAUUUUGGUGAAAUAUAAAGCCAAUUUGAGAUAGAGUGCAGGUGUUGCUGUUUACAUAGAAAAGAAGCAAAUUAAGGUUUAAUUAGGGGUUAAAAGUAAUUUAUCUUAUAUAAAUGGUUUCUUUAAUAAAUGUAGUUAUUAAAAUCAGUCUAGCUCAACCGGGUAGAUCAAAAACUUUAGAUUAAUACUAUUAAAAUUGAUUAGAACUAUAAAUUCCCGUAAUUAUUACGUCCAAAUUGAUUUUAUCAAUUUCUGAAAUUUUGCUACUGUUGGAGCUUUUUUGAGUUUUUGUAACUUUUUUAAAUAAUCACUUUUUAAAAAAAAAAAAAAUUCUUGUCACUUUUAAUUUAAUAAAUAGUAUUUCUUUUCAUUUUUUCCUUUUAUAGGAUUAAGAGUUAAUUAUAAUGAAGGAAUAUUGAUUUAAAUGGACAUGAUAUGUUACCUUUAUAUACUUUUUAGUAGGGAUAUACCUUUACGGUUUGAACUUCAUAAAAAUUGUUGUCAAAUUUAGCUUAUAUGUAAUACAAAGAUAUGUCAUGGAAUUGCAUAUCAAUGACAACAAUGCCAACUUAAUUUAUUUGUGAAAGUGUCAAAAUUCAACUUCUUAAAAAAAGUGACAUUUCAUAAAUUUUUUUUGUCAAAUUUAGCUUAUAUGUAAUAUAAAAAUACGUCAUGAAAUUGCAUAUUAAUGACAAUAAUGUCAACUUAAUUUCUUUGUAAUGGUGUCAAAAUUUUUAACUUCUUGAAAAAAGUGACAUAAUCAUAUGUAACUUUUGUUAAGAAAAAAUGACAUUUUCAUUUUACCCAAGGUUGUUGUAUGUGCCAUCUAUUGGAAAGACAAUUUCAGUCAUUUUGUUACUUAUAGAUUCAUUAUCUUGUCUCCAUAAUAAAUUUAUUCAUAUCAGCAAAAUGAAUACAAAUGAAAUAGUGUGAUUUUUUUUAUUUUAUUUAUUUUACAAAAAAAAAAUGAUAGUGUAUGUCACAUUUAAUUUUCAACAAAGUUCGGGGUACUUUUUAAGUUUUGCCAGGUCAACACUCCUAUUUUUCCAUAUAAGCCUAAGUUAUUUGUCAAUUGGCACAAUGACAUCUUGAUAAUUAAAAGGAAAAAUAUCCAUAAGUAUGUUAUAUAAUUACAAAAAUAUGGGUUUGUUUAAAAGAUAAUAAUACCUUUUAAGUUACGAUGAAAGAAUCAAACACGCCACACUUAAAAUUUCAAAAUCAAGUCACUUUUUUCUCUGUUUACUUCAGCAUAGAUAAAAACUCUUUCAUUUUUUAUCUACUUCAAUCUUAUAAUCUCACAAAUUUAUUAAACGCUCAAUUAAAAAAUAUUGUUUAUAUAAGUCACUUCAAAUCAGUAAAUAAUUUACAUUUAUUUAAUUUCAUUUUUGUUAAAUUAGAAUAUAAUUUUAAUUUUUAAAUCUUAUUUCAAUAUAGACAGAUAAUUUUUGCAUUUCUUAAAUAGAUCUACAUUUUUUAAGCAAAAAUGAGAAAAAUUUCAUCUGCGUGUAUAUUCUUUUGAACAGAUUCAUGACCAUCUGGGAUAAGGUGGACCUAGCCAUCUCGACACAAAUAAGAGUUGACCUAGCCAUCUGGGCAGGCUCUUAACAGCCGGUUCUAAAUAGUCGGCCCAAAUAUUUUUUUUUUUGUUAUUAUUAUCUAUUUUUUUUAAAUUCUGUCUCAUAAUGCAAAUGAAGGGAAUGAAAAUGAAUGAUGUACAUAAAAAUUGACAAGUGAAAGAUGUGGUGCUAUUGAAAUUGUGAUAACAUCGAGUACAGUAUAUGGAGAAAUGUCCCAUGAUUUGCAGAACAAGCUCAACCUUGAUCAUUUUCAGUACGAUAUGGAAUUAGAAUUUCUAUUCAACGAGCAUAUAUCCAUUUCAAUUCUACACAUAAAGGUUACUUCUGAAGUUGAAAUGAAAGUUCUAAUUGAAUUGAACAAAAAUCGCACGACUCUAAUUUGCUUAACUUUAGUGAGGAAGAAUAUCCCCGAGAGUGAGCACGAAAAUUUCGAUUGAGGGGAUCGUAAUGUGAAUCAUUUUUGGGACAUUGUGGAAAUAGCUCCUGAAGAUGAUGUUGUUAUUCUCGAGAAAGUUGUUAUUCACCAUGAUCUCACAGUUACGUGUAGAUUUCCUUCGAUAGUUUAAGACAAUGAAGAUUGCUUUAUUCCGUCAGUGACAUAAGUAGGGUGGGAACUCACAGACUAGAUGGAAUGCAAGAUAUCUAUGUGUUUGCUUAUGAUUCCAAAUGAAGAAUUGCAUAUCGAGUAACUAUUUGAAAUAAAGAGAGAUUUGCAAGAAGCUGUGUACCAUAUUGCAUUGAAACAUAACGUUGAAUUUAAAGUGAUGAAAUUAAACAAAUUGACCUACACAAUUAUAUGCAUUGAUGAUAGUUGUCUUUGGCACGAGUGAUAAAAAUUUACAUGAAUGAGUUCUUUAUAGUUUGCAAGUAUGCAUGAGAACAUAUUUAUGAUGUGGGUAUUCAUCGAAAUGAUCAUGGUUUAUUUGUCGACAGAUAAUGUACAAAUUUUAGGACCUAGAGACUAUCUACAGACCUUCAGAUAUCAUUAAUGACAUCUGAGGUGAUCAUAGGCUACCAGAAGACCUGGAAGGCCAAAUAAUGCUUGUUAAAUGAUUUAAUAGGUUUGGCCAAUGAGAGUUAUGCUUAAUUAGCUAGUUUAUUGCAAUAAUAAGGGGAUAACUAAUCAUGCCUCAACAAUUUUUAUUGAGGCAGAGCUCAGGACUCGCUUCAAGUAUUUCUUCAUGAUUUUUGGACAAUGUAUUUAGGGACUUUGAGAUGUGAUGCGAUCCCUAAUUUAUUCAACGAUACAACCAUGAAAUCUAGUUAAGUUAAUUAUUAUUAUAUGUCAUGAUACCAACAUCUAAAUUUACCCUCUUGCAUUUGCAUAACCGAUAGCAAGAAUGAUCUAUUGAUGCGUUAGUUCUUCACAAUGCUAAUGAAAUUAAUUGGGGAUUUUGAUAAUUUUGCAUUUGUAGCUGAUUAGGAACAAUAUAUAGUAAAUGGUACUAUUGAAGUUUUUCUUGAAGCACAUCAUGGGAAUUACAUGUACUAUAUACAAUGCAACCUAAAGAGUAAGUAUCAAGGCAAUUCCAUCAUUACAUUGUUUAUGAGAGCUGCAAAAGCUUACAAUUUUGAAAAUUUUAAUAAGUUCAUACUCGAAAUAGACAGUAAAUCACAUUUUGCAUAGAAGUAUCUAAAAAUAUGGGGAUUGAACAUUGGGCAAGCUCACAUUUUUCAGGAUAUUGAUACAAUAUAAUGAUAUCAAAUAAUGCGGAGACACUCAAUGCAUUAUUCAAGAAGGAUUGAGAGUUAUCAAUUUUCUCAAUGAUUGAGUAUAUUCGCAAAAAGAUAUAACAUUGGUUUCAUGAUCAACGUGUAAAAUCAUAGAAUUGCACAAGUGCACUAAGCCCAACUUAGGAAGAUAAAUUCUUUAAAACUCUAGAGGUGGGGAAAAAGAUACACAUAGAACUACUGGAUCAGUUGUGCUUCUCUUGAUAUUUGGACAUAAUAUUGUAUACAGUGGACUUGACCGAUAGCACCCGCACUUGUAGAAGAUUUCGACAGGAGAGUGUUCCGUGUGAGCAUGCAGUCGCAUUGGUUAUGUAAAAAGGCUUUGCAUCGAACACCUUAUGCUUUCCUUAUUACAAUGGCUAAUCUUUGGUAAGUAGUGUAUGCUGAGACUAUAUUUCCUCUACCAAACCAUAUUCUCCCAUUUAAUACAUUUUUUCCAUUCAAAGUCAAACCACAUGGUCCUGGACGUAGAUGUACGCCUAGAAUAACAUCUACUAAGAGUUUCCCCGAUCGCGUAGGUACAGUAGAUACGGCGCAAUAGGGCAUACUCAUUAAUUUUUUUACAAGUUAGAUCCUCCUACAUAAUAAUUCGACACAUGUAUAAUCUCUAUUGUAUUUAUAGUAAUUUAUUUGUAGCGUAAUUAUUGUCGUCGUUAAAUGUCAAAUGAUCUUCGUUGUCUUCGAGCCCGAUCAUGUAACAUUUUCAUAGCCAUGUCGAUAUGCUAUAGCAGAAAACACUAAUAAAAUAGAGAGAGAGUCAUUUAGUUAAAAACCAAUUACAUAAACAAAAUAAAUAACAAUGAAAAUACACUUAUAUCAUCGAUGUAUAACGCUGAUUUCGUUAUUACAUCUUCAAAUCACUUUCUAGCGUUCAAUAUCGUCUUAUCCCCUAUCACGAAAAGUAUCUCUAAAAAAGAAAAAAAUAUUACUACAAGCAUAGAUGAGUUAUUGUACUUUUUAGCAACAUCAUCAAAUACGUACUUGAACUUAAGGAAUUUGAACCAUUCAUCGAACACUUUCUAUCUAAUAAGGUUGGUCUCGUGGAAGAGAUUGGAGAACGCCCCAUCCACUAAUAUCAUUCUCUUUGCCUCAAUCGUGAAAGGAAAAAUGAUGUAAUUAGAUGGUAAUCUCAACCUCUUGCCGACCACCAACUCUGGCAUGUCAAUAGCACGCUUCGUACCCUUUCAUAACCUUCAAAGCCCCUUCCACAUAAAAAUGAUAUCUUCUAUAAUGUUGAAUGUACUCUUCUCCUUCGCCAUCCCCUCCGAUACUCCCUUUAUCACAUCAUUCCUUGAAGAAGAAUUCCAUUUUCCUGAUGCAAAAUUUUACAUGGAAGAUCAAGAGUACAAUUCUGUAGGGUUGACCAUGUCUGGAUUCAAAAUCAAAGAAGAUACAAACGAUCAUGAUACAUCUAGUGCUGCUCAAUAUCAUCAACUUAUCAAAGGCAAGUCAAAAUUUACAUCCGAAUGAUUCUCUAAAGGCAAAAAAUCUCAAAUAGAAUCAACCAAUGUUGAGGUAUUGAGAAAAUUAGCUCUUCCAGUACCUAAAAUUCCAAAAUUGCUUCUGUCCCAUCAACUCAUGGCGGUCCCAGAAGAACAUAAAUCUACAUUGAAAGCUUUGACAUCUAUCCGAGACAUAUCAAAGCUUUGUAUUUCUAGCUUGUCCAAACAAGAAGGAGCUCCUGAAUCAAAACAAACUUUCAAAGGACGUUACAAUCCUCAAGUUAAAAAGUUGUUCGACAAUGAUGGGUUUGGAAAAGGAAAGUCUUGUAAAUUAGGUGAUCUUGAUGCUAUUCUUUUAGGAGGGCAUGUCCCUUCUAAUUCUGAUAGAGCCUUAGUGUCCCGACCUAGGUAUGGUUUAGGAUAUGAUCCUAAUCUACUGAGGAAGGUUAAGGUCAAGAAUGUUUCCUCAAACCCCAUCAUGGUUCAAAUUUAUGAAGUUGCAGAAAAGAAAUCAGAAUAGUCGAGACCUUUAGUGUUCGUUGAAUUGAAAAUGAGAAUGCCAAAGUUUCGGUGUUUAAAAGGUUGAAAGGAGAUCCCUCCCAGUGGUCGACGUAAAAGGUAAAGUCUCUAUCUUCUAAAGAUUGCGUGAAGAUUCUUCUUCUUCUACCCAAAUUGAUAGAUAUGCACAAGCUCGCCAGAUGUCAUCACAAAGACAAUCUGUAUUUUCUCGACUUGGGAUUUAAAUUUCUAAUCCAAGUCCAAAACCACAACGGUCAAGACAAAGACAAAGACAUCAAAAAGUUUGCUCAUCCCUAAAAGGUAAUGAAGAUAAAGACAAAGUCUCUGUCAAUCACAUAGCCUUUGAAGAAGCUUCUGAUUCAGACUCCAAGUCUGAAAGUUCUAUCACAACUGAUGAACCUGAACUAGCCCCACCUACUUUUGAAGAAGGAGGACAAGCUGCUGUGGAUGAUUUGAAACAAAUGAACUUGGGGUCCGAAGAGGAUCUGAGACCAGUAUUUGUUCUGAGUACAUUAGUUUGCUUUAUGAAAGCAAAGACGUGUUUGCAUGGUCUUACAAGGAAAUGCCCGGGGUUAGAUCCUAAGAUUGUAGUACAUCAUCUUGCAAUAAGACAUAGAGUUCGACCUGUCAAGUAACCUCAAAGAAGAUUUCAACCAUAACUGAUCCCUCAAAUUGAAGUAGAAGUCAACAAAUUUAUUGAAGCUGGAUUUAUGCACGAAGUGAAAUACCUAACAUGGAUCUCGAACAUUGUUUUUGUAAAAAAGAAGAAUGGGCAAUUACGAAUUUACGUUGACUUUCAGGAUCUGAAUCAAGCAUGUCCGAAAGAUGAUUUUUCACUUCCAGUAACAGAGUUGAUAAUGGAUGCAAAUACCAGGUAUGAAGUCUUAUCUUUUAUGGACGGAUUUUUUGGAUACAACCAAAUACGAAUGAACCCCAAAGACGAGGAGCUUACAUCAUUUUGUAUCCCUAAAGGCAUAUAUUAUUACAAAGUUAUGCCUUUUGGAUUAAAAAAUGCGGGGGCAACCUACCAGCGGGCAAUGCAAAAUAUUUUCGAUGACAUGCUGCAUAAGAAUGUGGAAUGCUAUGUGGAUGAUCUUGUUGUUAAAACAAAGAGACGUGACAAUCAUUUACAAGAUUUAUGGGAUGUUUUCAAAAGACUUUGAAGACAUCAAUUGAAUAUGAAUCUGUUGAAAUGUGCAUUAGGCGCCACCUCUGGAAAAUUUUUUGGCUUCAUUGUUCAACACUGGGGCAUUGAAAUAGAUCAAUCAAAAAUUGACACCAUAAUCAACAUGCCAGAAUCAAGAAAUGUAUGUGAGUUGAAAAAUCUUCAGGGAAAACUUGCAUAGAUUCGAAAAUUUAUCUCUAACCUUGUCGGACGCUUUCAUCCAUUGAACAAAUUGGUGAAGAAAGAUAUACUAUUUGAAUGGGAUAACACUUGUCAAAAUGCUUUCCAAAGCAUUAAACAAUAUUUGUCUCAUCCACCGGUAAUCACAGCUCCAGUGCUAAGGAAGCCAUUGACUCUUUAUAUUGUAGCACAAGAAUAUUCUCUAUGAGCACUUCUUGUCCAAGUUAAUGAUGAAGGAAAAUAUAAUGCACUCUAUUGCUUGAGUAGAAUACUGUUAGGCACUGAAAUGAAGUAUUCACCUGUUGAAAAAAUAUGCCUUGCGUUAAUCUUCGCAGCUAAAAAGUUGAGACAUUAUAUGAUAUCACACACAAUCAAUCUUAUUUCGAAGAUUGAUCCGUUGAAGCACAUAGUGUCUAGGCCAAUUCUUUCUAAAAGGAUUGGAAAAUGGGCACUGCUGUUGUCUGAGUUCGAUAUCAAAUUCAUUUCACAAAAACCCAUUAAAAGACAAGCUUUGGCAGAUUUCCUGGCCAACCACCCAAUUCUAGCGGAAUGGAAACUUCAAGAAGAUCUUUCCGAUAAAGAAGUUCUAUUUACCGAAGUCAUAUAUUGGAGGCUAUACUUCGAUGGGGCAGCUCGAAGCUAUGGUGCUGAAGUGGGAGUAGUCGUUGUCACUCCCUAUAAUCUCGUCAUGCUCUACAUUUUUGCCUUAAUAGAGAAAUGUUUAAAUAACGUGGUAGAAUAUCAAGCCCUUAUCCUUAGCUUAGAAGCAGCGUUAGAUAUGGAUAUCCACCACUUGAAAGUCUUUGGAGAUUUAAAAUUGAUAAUCAACCACCUUUUGGCUAAAUAUGAAGUCCGUAAUUCAAACCUGAAGCCAUAUCAAGAAUAUGCAUCAAUACUUAUGAGGCAAUUUGAUUCGGUAAAAAUCAAAUUCGUCACGAGAAGUGAAAAUAAAGAGGCUGAUGCCUUAGCUAAUUUGACUGCUGUUUUAGCUAGGUCAGAUGGAGACUUCUCUCACUCCAUAUCAAUUGCUCAAAGAUGGGUGCUUCCGUCGUUGUUACCUAGUAAUUUGAAAGAAAAUAAUGGUGUCAAAGUAGCCGAAGAUGAGGAAAGAGAAGAUUGGAGACAGCCAAUAAUCGAUUUCUUUCAACAUCAAAAGCUACCAGAUAAUUCACAGCGAAAAAUUGAAAUCAAGAGGCGUGCCUCUCGCUUUAUCUUUUAUAAAUGAACACUUUAUCGAUGAUUAUUUGAUGGAAUUUUCCUUUGAUGCGUAAGUAAUGAUGAAGCAACACAGGUCGUGGAAGAAGCUCACUAUGGAAUUUGUGGUACCCAUUAGUCUAGACCCAAGCUCCAUUCUCAAAUACAGAGGAUGGGGUAUUACUGGCCAACUAUGUUAUAAGACUCCAUGGAUUAAGUAACAAAAUGUGAAGCUUGCCAAGCCCAUGCAAAUUUCAUCCAUCAAUCUUCAGAACCAUUACAUCCAACAGUAGCUUCAUGGUCUUUUGACGUAUGGGGUCUUAAUGUAAUUGGACUUAUAAUGCCAAAGUCUUCAGUAGAGCAUGCAUACAUCUUCGACGGGUCUGACUACUUCUCUAAAUGAGCCAAAGCCAUACUAUUGAAGGAAGUAAAGAAAUAAAAUGUCGCAGAUUUCAUUCAUAUCCAAAUCAUUUAUCGAUAUGGUGUCCCUCGACAUAUCAUAACAAAUAAUGGUAAACCAUUCUGCAAUAGCCAUAUAAACAAUUUAUGUACAAAGUUUGGGUUCAAAUAGUACAACUCGUCCAUGUACAAUGCGGUAGCUAAUAGAUUGGCAGAGGCGUCCAAUAAAACACUAUGCAAUUUGCUAAAGAAAGGUUGUCUCCAAAUAAAAAAGAGAUUGGCAUGAGAGAAUUGGUGAAGUCUUAUGGGCUUAUCGAACUACUUAUCGGACUCCAACGUGAGCCACUCCUUAUGCCUUAGUAUAUGGGGUGGAAGUUGUACUUCCUCUAAAGUGUCAAAUCCCGCCACUUCGAAUUGCCAUCCAAGAAGGUUUGAGAACUAAAGAAAAUGCCCAUCUUUGAUUGGAAGAGCUAGAAGCUUUGGAUAAGAAGGGUUAGAAGCACAAAUGAACCUGGAGUGCUAUCAAGCUCAAAUGGCGAAGUCAUUCAACAAGAAGGUCCGACCAAGAUCAUUUCAAGUUGGAGAUCUGGUACUUUCCAUGCGCAAACCAAUCAUAACUACAAGAAAAACAGGGGCAAGUUACAGCCUAAAUGGGAUGAUCCAUUUCUUGUUACUCAUGCAUUCACUAACGGAGUUUACAAGAUCAUCGACAAAGAUGGACUGCAAAUUGGACCUAUUAAUGGAAAAAUUUUAAAGCGUUUUUACACUCGAAGUUUUUUCUUUAAAAUUUUUCAUUAUAAAAAAAAAAAGGAAUUGGGUUCUUAUAAUGAAACUAUGUUUGAUUUAAUCUCAUUUGGGUACGUAGGCAGCUUGAAUAAACUAUAAAUUCAAGUUUAGUCACAAUUAAUAAAUUCAUUCAAUUUGUUUACCACUUGCUGUAGUUAAAAAAACAAGAAAUAUGAAAAAGAAAAGUUCAUCCAAAUAAAAAUAGCAAGUCAAAAUUCAUACAAUAUGGUCUUAAAAAAGGGAUAAAAAUUCUUGACUUCAUCGGGAUCACUCGUCAUUGAUCACUCUCAGGAAACUAUAUUCAAGGGUCUUUUUUCUGGUCAAUGGAUGCUAUGCUAGUGACAUCUCUGGUCUAUGCUUCUUCCAAUGCUGCCUUCUUAGUUCCAAUCACACUCUUUUGUUCCCGCCGGGCUUGAAGUUCAUCACGAAGUCUAUCUAGUUCAAAGUUUAACUGACUAAUUUUGCCUUCCAAUGAAGAACACGUGGAAUCUUUGAUAUCCAACUGAAUGUUCAAAAGUUUUAACUGAUUAGCCUUUUCGUCAACGGUUAGAAAAUCCAAGUGUUGUUUUCUUUACGACAAGGAAGAGUUAACUUCUUUCAGAAACACAUCAAUGUGCUUCGUCAAAGGCAUUAGGUCUACGUGGAACGAGUUGGUAAUCACGUUUUGAAGAAUUAAAUUAUUUUCAUCCCACCAAGAUUAAAUGUUGGAGAAUCCAUACUUCAAGACAUCCUUAAAACACUUUUGAAGGUAAUUAGUUAUGGCUUCUUGCAGAGCAGCUUUCAGAUAAUGAGACUAAGUAAUUUCACGCGGAGGACUGGAUAUGAAAGAACAGAUUUGUGCAACUCGAUGAUUAUUUGUCUGUGAAGGCAAGAUACUGACUAAAGCCGGCGAAGAUGAAACGACAGUUCCUAAAUUCACUUCAUCUUCAAUGUUAAAAUUGUCCAUGAUAAGCACCGAAGUACCUCCAUUGAUGGUGUCAGGAUAUUUGCAAAGAGGGUCAUGAGAAUCAUGAAUACCAUCUAUUCCUUGGAGGGCAUCGAUUUGCCCAUCAUUCUCGCCAGUCUGAUCUUGCAAAAAGUUUGUAUUCAUGGAGAAAUUUAGUCCUUCAGGGAUGUUUGGAAAACCUAAAGAAAAUGAAGUAUGAUUUCAAAAAAAAAGGUGCAGCACACAAAAAUAGGGCGCAUACCUGCGUUUCGAGUCCUAGGCGACAUGUCUAAAAAUCCACCGUUUGAUGGUGUGUUUGAGAGGCUGAUGUUAAUGUAAGAAGCUCCAACUUCACCUUUUGAAAGACUCGAAAUAGCUUGAAAUGGCCUCGGUUCUACUAGUCGUUUGAUUUUGUAUAUUCGAGAAAGAGGAGCAUGAAAUUGAAGAUUGUGACAAAAAUCAAAUACAAGUAGUACGUUAAAAAAAAGAACUAUACCUGAUCUCUAGAACUUUCAUCUUCUAGAGUUAAAGUCUUUCCCGAUGCUUGUGAUGCUCGAUCUCCAGAAUUGCUGUGAUCUGGAAUCAAAAUCGCUUUUGGUAACUUAUCAGCAGGCUCAGAGGUGGCAACAAUCUUUAUCGAGGGAACUAUAAUUUUGAUUCUCUUAAUACCUCUUUCAUUUUACUAGUUCAGAUCUCCCUUUCGAAAACCCUUUUCUGGAGCAAAUUUUGGAGGGUUUAACACUCUAGCUACAACCCUAUUCGGAGUCAGGCUAAGAACAAGUCACGACUUUCACUAGAAAAUAAGACUUGCACCUGGACCCUGGUCAAGAGUGGCAAUACUUCGCUAUUCUACCAAGCCUAUUAUUCAACAUCAACAUUUUGAUGUAUAUCCCUCACAUACUCUAGAAUAUGAAAUACAGACUCACUUUUCGUCCGAGUUAAUGACAACCAAACCCGAUACAUGUCGCCUAUGCUAGGGACAAUAGUCAACUUUCUUGGUGAAUCGAAAAGUUUCUGUCUAAAGCCAAAUUGUCUCGCAAACCUGUAAGGAUUAUACGCCUCAAGAAUGAAAGCUGAUUUUCCUCGAUGAUAAGAAAUAAAUCUAGAUCGAAUACUCAUCAUGAGUUCUAAAGUAUCUACAGACCUUGGUUGGUCAUUCACACGUACAUCAGGAUAAGACGAUGAGGGUAAUGGGUUCCAGCAAAAGUGAUUGGUCUUCAUCGCUCCACGGAUAAGUUUCCGACAAUCAACAACAUUUUUCUCCCAAGAUUGAAAAGCAUUCAAAGUGCCAACAUAUCUUCGAAUUAUAGGGCGAUAAUAACUCUUGUCCACAUGAGCAUAAGCACCUCGAACAAAAUAAGUUGCCACCCAAGCAUAAAGAAAAUGUCUAAGAAAUGAAUGUGAAAUUGAGCCAAGGUUUGGGUUUACCUGAUAAUUAGAUGUUCGUGUAAGUUCAUUAUAAAUGCUUGCCAAUAUAGGUGGAACUAGACUAUAAGUGUAUCAGCCUGCCAUCCUAGAAGAUGCUUUAAAGGUCCCAAUUCUUAUACUUUAGUCCCUAGAUGGAAUAACGAAGUGACAAAGCCAUAGGGAGAUAUAGGCUACUAUCUCUAAUUCCUCUUCUUUUUCCUUAGACAGAGAUACUGGUGAAUUGCUCCAAUGACGUCGAUCCCUACGAGUAAUGUCUCUAGACUUGUCUACCACCACGGGCCUCCACAUUUCCUUCGAUACUCUUUGAUGACACCUCUUAAAUGGAUUUAAAUUCAUAGUAUUCUUAUAAUUUUUGUGUUGUCGAGAAUUCUAGACACAACCAUUCUCGUGAAACCAAAAAUCAAUCCAUUGAUCGUGAGUAACCCUAUUAGAUUCAUUUACAUGGGCAAUCAAUGUGAAAAUAUUAAAGAGGUAUAGACAAGACUUGGGAAGGUGAUCCGUCAACUCUGAAAGGCUUGGGACUAUUUUCCCAUACUAAUGACCCAUGAUCGAAAGUCCGCUUAUCACACGAAUGUUCCAAAGAGAAAUGCCAAGUUCACCAUUGGUAUUCACAAAGGUGUUGGUCUCUGGACACCAAAUCUCACAAAGAGUUCUAUAAAUAGAGUUUGGGCGAUAGUAAUCUUUUAUUGCAGAACCAACUACAAAGUAGAAGUUUUUGGACCCAUAAAGACCACUCCCAAAAUUUUGGAAGAAAACAAAUCUCUCCUCGAUUGACCAGUGCGCCUCUCCAUCGUAUUUCUCUAUUAUCAAUACUCUCACAAAUCACAGCCUUUGGGAUGCACUCCAUGCUCUGGGAAUGAUGAGGCGGAAGACACAAAAGAAGAUGACUAUUAGAGCGGUUGGACUUGCCAGUAUCCAAACUCUCGUAACAUUCACUAAUAGUGGACAUAUGCAACUCCGACAAUGACUCCAGAAGAUCAGGGGAAGGAUUUGUCAUUGGCUUAUGUGCACUAAAUUUAAGUUCACCCCAUACGGCUGUCUUGGCAUGGUACUUCACAUCAGUAUCUUUGAAACGCAGAUAACUUUUGCCUUGAUUUUUAAGUUCAACAAUUUCUUGUAUGUCAAAAUACACUUUAUCGUCAAAACUUGUUUCAGCCAUGCCUGAAAAAAACAAAGUCAGCUAAAGAAAGAGGGCAGUGACCUCUUAAAUUGGUUUAUUGUCUAAAAUCACAAGUCUCCAAAAUAUGUAAGCGGCCUCUACAAAAAGUGCCUUGGAAGAUCGAAGGAAUAGGUCCUUAGUCCUCAAUACAAAAUGUUUUGGGCGGUCGAAUGAGCAAGUCCUUAGCCCUCAACACAAAUUGUUUUGGACGAUCGAAGGAACAGGUCCUUGGUCCUCAACACAAAGUGCCUUGAAUGGCUGAAGGAGCUGGUCCUUGGUCUUCAACACAAAGUGUCUUGGACAGUUGAAGGAACAGGCCCUUGGUCCUUAAAACAAAGUGCCUUGGACGAUAGAAAGAGCCAGUUAUUGGUCCUAAACAAAAAGUGCCUUGGAUGGUCGACGGAACAGGUCCUUGGUCCUCAACACAAAAUGUUUUGGAAGGUCGAAGGAACAAGUCCUUGGUCCUCAGCACAAAAUGUUUUGGACAGUCGAAAGAACAGGUCCUUGGUCUUCAACACAAAGUGCCUUGAAUGGUUGAAGGAACAGGUCUUUGGUCUUCAAUAUAAAGUGUCUUGGACAGUUGAAGGAAUAGGUCAUUGGUCCUUAACACAAAGUACCUUAGACGAUAGAAGGAGCCAGUCCUUAGUCCUUAACACAAAAUACCUUGGACGGUAGAAGGAACAGGUCCUUGGUCCCAAACAUGAAGUGCCUUGGAUGGUCGAAGAAAUAAAUCCUCGGUCCUCAACAUAAAAUGCCUUGUAUGAUCGAAGGAGCAGGUCCUUGGUCCCAAACAUGAAGUGCUUUGGACAGUCGAAGGAGCAGGUCCUUGGUCCCCAACAAAAAGUGCAUUGGAUGGUGAAAAGUGACGGUCCUUAGUCCUCAAUGUGUAUUAAGGUUUGCAAUUUUAAAUUUGUUCAUAAACAUAUAUUUUCAGAACUCAUAAAAUAAUUACAACAAAAAAAAAAAAAAUUAACCUCUACAUGAAGAAAAUUUUGAACCUCAAAAUUCUUGAUUCGCUCCAAAAAGAUUGAAUCCCUGCAGCAAUAAAAAAAAAUGUUAGUUUCAACUUUGUUAAAACAAAAAUACAAAAACAAACAUAAUAAUACUCACAAUAAUCAACAAAAAAAAGGGAUCAAAAUAAAAAUAUAAUUAAAAAAAAGGAGAGAAAGAAAUAAAGACAAGUAGAAAAAUGAAGAAAAGAGAAAGAAACUAAAAAUAAUUAUAAUAAUCAUAAAAAAAAUAAAAAAUAAAACGGGCUUCUGUCGAAAGUAGCAAAAACCAAUUGGAAUUGGCUCAGAAACCAAAGCCAAUUUAAAAAAAAAAAAUUAGAAAAAAUGUUUCUGCCGUUUUCCACAAAUUGGAAUUGAGAAACCAAAACCAUUUAAAAAAAAAAUUGUUUCUACCAUUUUCCACGGAACAAUUCCAAUUCCAAUUUGUUUAAAUUGGUUUAGAAACCAAAAACAACUAAAAAAAAAUAGUUUCAUGGCAGAAACCUUUAAUUUCAUUGAAUUUCACAAAAAAAAAAAAGAAAAAAAGGAAAAAAAAAGCAUAAUGGUUUCUGCCAAUUGCAGAAACCAAGGAAACUAAUAGCUGAAAUUGGUGCAAUUCACCAAUUCCAAGAAUCCAAUUAGUGAAUUUGUCUCCUCGGGCGGCGAAAAACAAGAAAAGAAAAUGUAAUAAUAAUAAAAAAAAAAAUGAAUGAGGUAAAAACCGUGGGAGAGAGAGAGUAAAUAUAUAUAUAAAAAAAUUCUUUAUCUCUGUUUACGAGAUUUAACAGACUUGUUCCCAAGUCUCACAAUUCCUUUGUAUAAAUAGGUGGGUAGCGGAUUUCACUUAAACCUAAUUUACAAUGAAACAUAAAAUGCCUGUUCAAAUCAAAUAUGUUAUGGGUCGUAUAAAAUAAAUAAAUAAUCGAAAUUCGACCAAAAAUAAUAAUAAUAAAUAAAUAAAUAAAAUAAAAAUUUCUUAUUCUCAAAUUUGAAGGAUAAGAAUUUCAUCAAAUUUAUAUUUUGUUCUCAAAUGUUCCACUGUAUGUUUGAAAUCAAAUCAAAUUAAAAAAAAAAAAAUCGAAAUCAAACAAAUCAAAAAUAAAACCGAAAUCAAGAUUUAUUAAGAUUUAUUUAUUUAGAAAUAAAUUAAUCUUAAUAAAUCUUGAGGGGGCAUUUGCAGGCAUAAAAAAAAUAAUAAAAAAAUAAAAUAAAGAAAACGGAUUGGAUCAAUUUAAAUCACUAGCCCAAUUAAAAUGAAAUCCACUAAAGUCCAUAAAAAACGAAAGGCCCAUGUCACAAUGUAAAUAUAUAAAUAAACAAACAAAUAAAUAAAUAAAAAUAUAAUUACUCAAUUAUUCAUUUUAAUUAAAUAUAAUUGAGUAACUACCAAAAUUAUCAUGAAUUCUGUCCUUUAAAUAGGACCAAUGGUCCAUGAGACAUGGACAGAAAGAAAGCAGAGAACUCCACGAAGUACUGAAGAAAUUCUAAAGUUGGAAGAAUGGAAGAAUUUUUCUCAAACCUAAACUCGGUGAACCUCAAGAAAUUAAAAUCUUCUUCGAAUCAAGCAGGUUCAUGCCAAGUCGAAGAAGAUCAAAGUCUUCUUCAAAUCAAAUCAAAUUCAAGUCCAAGUCCAAACCUCAAGAUUCAAGUUCCGAACAAGUCAAGUCUCGACAAAUCAAAUAUUCAACAAAUUCUCGAAGACCAGUAUUCAAGUCACGUGGCCUCUCGUCUUCAAAUAUUCAGAUUAUUAAUUAGAGAAUUCUUGCAACUUUGCAAUUACAAGAAGGUCAACAUCACUUGUAUUUUAUCAAAAUAAAAUUUGUAACGAUUUCUAUAUUUUAAUACACGAAAUUCAGUCGUACAGAUGGUAAUGCAAUAAGCUAACCAAAUAGGGUGAAUAUUGAAGCUUUGGAGACUCAAUAUGAGUUUUCUCUCCCUUGAAUAGUCAGAUUACCUUCCUCUGUAUAAAUGGACCAUGAUGGUGUUUGUUCUUCAAAUAGUGGAACACGUAGAUACCAGAUGGACUGAUUUAUCAAGAUUUUAAUGGAUGGUAGUUUUGGGAGUCUCGGAAGACUAAGCCAACUUUUGAUGGAGUAAGCAUAGCCAUUUGAAUGAGUGCUACUUUUGUCCCACAUGGUAAGACUUGGUCUUACUCAGAGCUCAUAGCUCUUUCGAAAAGAUGGAGGGAAUUGACCUGACUUGCACAUUGAGAAGCAUAUCCUUCGGACUCCACAUAGUAACAUUAGAUAGGUAGGACGCAAAGCAAGAUCGAUAAGUAUGUCAAGGAUGGGCAUGAUACGCAUGCAUAAGUUUAGGUGCGAGGAUACCCAAUAUACAUGGAUUAGUCAAGAGACCAAUGGACAAUUUUGUACCACCAAAAGUAUGGAAACUUCAAACAUCGACUUAACAAGUAAGAAAAAUUUAAUGUGAAAAAAUAAUUUCAUUUAAAUCAUAAUCAAAUAAAGACUAAUAAAAUACAGUACUUUGUCACUCUACAAUUACUAAUUGUGCGCUUCUAAACCAUAAAAGAAAUUAAUGAUAUGACAACAUUUAACUCCAGAUUACCAGUGGCGGACCCACAUGGGGUCAUGUUGGAUCAAAUGACCCCACAAAAUUUUGCCCAUGUUUUUUUUUUAAUAACAAUCUACAUUGAUGCACUCGUCAGCUUGUCAAAUGAAGUCAAAAUAUUAUAUUCUUAAUACCAUUUCGAAGUGCUCAUGACCUAGUUUUUCACUCAUUAAUGGCAUGCAAGUGGUCAACUAUAACAGAAGUUAUGACAUGUUAAAGUAGAGCAUUUAAAACUAGUAUUUUAAGAAUUUCGAUAAUAUCAUAACUUUAAAAAUUCGUUUGCGAUCAUGUGCUAUAUGAAUCCACAAAUCGUCUAUGUCAUGUAAAAGUUUCUUUCAAAAACUACAUCAUUUUCAUAUUGAAUGGUCCAAACAGAUAUCGAAAAUAGUUAAAUAUGUAUCAAACGUACGCUUCAAAAAAGACGUCUAACUCGUUUUUUCUUUUAAAAAAUUCAAUUAAUUAUUAUUUUUGCACGAUAAAUUUUUCAAUAUAAUUUAUAUCAUUUCAUUCAGAAGUCUUGCAUGAAAUAUGACGUAAAUUUUUUAGGUUCGUUACGGAUUAAAUAUAAUUUGAAUUACUUUCGAAUUAUAUUUGCUUUAAAUUUGAAUUUCAUUUAAUUUCUCAACUAAACUUGAUUUAUUUCAAUUUAUUUAAUUUCUAUAUUCAAUUUAAUUUGCUCAAUGUUAGCUCAACAUUUGCCAACAAAAUGAUAAACAAAACUAUACAAGUGGCAAAAUUUAUUUAAUAAUAUAAUAAUGAUGUAAUUAUACGACAUUUUUAAAGUGUCAAAAUACAUAUAAACUUAUUUUCAUUGAUAUUAUGUUGUUUAUUAAAAAAUUAUUUUUAAAAUUUUGACCCCACAAUACUAAAGGUCUGGGUCCGCCCCUUCAGUUUACCAUAGCAAAACUACCUCUAAACAAAAUAUCAAUGUUUUAAAAUGUGGCCCGGUCGGUUCAACCAAGAAAACUGGGAACGUCCCAAAUUUGGGCUGAUUCAACUUAUAAAAUCUCUAAUUAAAAACUGUCCCAAUAACCCGUUAAACUAGUUGACCUUUGAAAAUUCUGUGACCGCUCCCAGUUUAGCCGGGUUACACUAAGUUAAAACUUAAAAUCGAAAAAUUAAAACCUUUGACAUUUAAAGUUGAAAACUUAUUUUUACAACAAUCGUUUCGUCUCUACAAUGCCAUAUCAAAUAUUCAAAACACAUUAUUUCUUUCAAUUUUCUUUACUUCUUGAUUCUACAUUCUAAUUUUUAGGCUGAUUAUGUUGUUCAAGUAUUAGGUUACAAAGGUUUGUUGUUCCUAAUGUUGAUUUUCUCGUAGUACAAUUGAUCCAUGUAUUAAUCUGUAGGAAAGUGCACAAAACUUGUGUCUCUGCGUUGUAAUUGUUUUGGAAUUAAAUAUAGUUUUCACAUACCUCGUCUGAUUGUUCUUUACUCAACCUUGUAGAAUUAUUGUUGGAUAACCCAUUAAGAAAAAAAAUGAUUCUGUUGACACAUAAAAAUUCAGCCCAAAUCGAACGGCCCAAGGAAUGAAGCCCAAUUGGAGAAUCCCCAAAUCAGAUAGCCCAAAGAACGAAGCCCAAUCAAACAAUUCAAAUAGGGAGGCCCAAGAACGUGGUAACGCCAUCGCCCAAGAUUGCAAGUCGCCCAAAAUCUGAGCGAAUGGAGUGCCAUGCAGUCGUGCAGAGCUAUUACUCUAUUCUCACCAAAACCUUCAAGUCGCCCAAAGUCUUAACAAACAUAAAGCGUUGUGGUUAUCAAGAAGUACAGUUAUCAAAGCAGUUAGUAAAGCAGCCCCAUCACGUUCCACGAUUCAAGGAACUCAAUCGAAAACGGUUGAACGGCGAAGAGUAAUGGCAGCAGUUUUCAUGACAAGCAAGCCAUUAUAAGGAAAGUGGGCAGUUGCAGAACGAUCAAGCAGUUUUUAGGCGGUUGAUCACAAAGAGAUCGUUCAUGAAGUAUAAAAGGGAGAAAAGACAUAGAGCAAAAGACCGAAUAAAAAACUCUCGAACAGAGAACAUGUAAUUUUAAUUUCCUUAGUUUAAGACUUAAACACUUUUUUCAGUAACUCGUGUGCUUACGCCCCUUGGAGGCACUUUGUUUUUAAUUUCCAAUUGUAAAGUCAUCACCAAUAAAAGAACACCCCUUUUUGGGACUUUGUCUCAAGAGGUUUGUCCCUUACACAAUCGUCUGAUCCUUUUUAAUUGUUAGCGACUAACCCGCGCGAAACAAUUUGACACGCCCAGUGGGACAGUGGUGUUUGGUGUUGAAAGUACAAAAGGUGAAACAAUAUACCUCAGAGAUCCGAUAAGGAAGCAGCAAGUCAGGGAGGAGUCCAGUCUGUGAUCGAGCGAUAUGAGGAGCAACAUGCCUCUCCACGAACAGAUGGACAAAAUCAGAGCAGUAACAGUCAUUACGAACCAAUGACGGAGUUGAGUCCUCGAACCAUGCGUGCAUUACUGGGAGAACUCACACAAGACGUUAUUGAACAGGUAAAUCUUCGAAGUAUUCAUAAUAUGGAAAGAUUUAUCCAAAAUGGGAAUGCACACUAUGACAAUAUGGCCAAACAACUAAAUACAUUGAAUGAAAUAAUGAAUAAGUUAGUAGGCCAAAUAUGUCAACCGGUUAUACCUCUUGCAAAUCACUUUCAACUAGGACAAUUGUGGGACAUAAUCCCUCAGUCCUAAAUCCGAAUCAAGGGGUAGAACCACUUUCUGGUCCCUCUACUUCAAACUAAGGGGGUACUGCAGUGCCAAAUCAGAACAAUGGUAGUGGUACGCCUAACUCGGGGGAUAAUCCAAACAUAAGAGAUAAUGUCCUAAACAAUAGACAGCACACCCCACGUGUUAAUGAGGGAAUAGAUGUUCAGGCUAAUGGUAAUGGCCCUAAUUAUGGUAAUUUUGUUGUCAAUCAAAGACCAAACAUCAGGCCUCAUGCAAAUCAACCGGUUAAUCAGCCUGUAGGAAUUCCAUAUGAUCCCAACGUCAUGGUGAGGAAUUAGAUUAUGGAAAUCGUACAGGAUCAGAUGGCUUUUGGGGUGCGUCCCGUCAUUAGGCCGACGUACACAAAGCCAUAUCCUGAUUGGGUAGACCAAGCAUAUCCAUGGCCAAGAGGGUACAAAGUGCCAGAAUUCUUACUGUUUACCGGUUUAGGAGAGGUGUCUACUCUAGAACACAUAGGGCAAUUUACAUUGCAAAGUGGGGAUGUAAUCGAUUACCAUAAAAUGAGGCUUUUCCCUAGUUCGUUAACAGGAGUAGCUUUCUCUUGGUUCAUCAACUUGCCAGCGAACUCUGUUCAAACAUGGCAACAAUUGGAACAGUUAUUUCACGCUCAGUUUUAUAAAACUGAGUCUGAAGUUACUUUGGCUGAUUUGGCGAAUCUACGUCAAAUGCCAAACGAAUGGGCAGAAAGUUUUCUCCAAAGGUUCAAGACAGCAAGAAGCAAGUGUUUUGUACCUCUGCCCGAGAAAGAAUUUGUCAAAGUCGCUCAGGGCUGCUUGAGCUUUGAUUUAAAAAAGAAAUUCCAGGACAAGGAAUUUCCUAACCUUUUCCAGUUGAGUGCGAAUGUGAUUAGCUAUGAACGGCUGAUAAGAGAGGAAGAACAGAUGAAAAAUUCUAGUAAAGGGACUUAUUACAAAGACCCAAAUUUUGAUGUUCAUACCAUCGGUGACAAGUCAUACGACUAGGCCGAAAUGUGUUUGGCUGAAUUGGUCAAACGAAGUACAUAUACUUGUCCCAUAAUGGCCAAGCCUAGACCAUCGGGCAAAGAUGAGCCCAUAAAAGAUGGAAACAUAAAGGCUAGGACAUUCUCGUUUGACAUAACCGAAGCUGACCUUAUAUUUGAUAAAUUAUAUAGGGAUAAGCAAAUAAAGUUGAGCGAUAAGCACAAAUUGCCAAACCCUGAACAAAUUAAGGGUAAAAAAUAUUGUAAGUGGCAUAAUGCAUGGUCACAUUUGACUAACAAUUACUUAGUUUUUCGUCAUGUAUUGCAAGAUGCCAUUGAAUCAGGACGAAUUACGUUCGAUGAUAAGAAGAAGAUGGCAGUGGACGAAAAUCCUUUUCCACAGCCACUUGGAGUGAACAUGGUGACAUCUGGAUUCAAAAACAAGUUGCCAAAAUUCAAGUUGGUCGUAGAUGAUGGAGAAAAGGACCCUAGACCACAUCCCAGUGUCUUUGAACGAAUUAAGGGGAAAGAACCAAAAAAGGACGAAGACAUCCUGUGUGCAAGAUGUAAAAGAGAAAUGAAAGGCUAUACGGAGAAACCAGGGAUAUGACAGCAUCCCCAUCGCCCUACUUUCUUCCCAAACACUCAGCCUGGUAGAGGGCGAGGUACAUCAUUCUAUAUAGGACUGCCUUUUGAGAGGCAGUUUUGGCCAGCAGAUAAUGGAAGAACAUUCAGGCCGCAACCUCGUCAGCCAAAUGUAUGGCAUUCAUUCCAGUAUAAUGCAGGAAGGGCAAUACCCUUCGAUGAGAUAACUAAAACCCAACAAAGGCGUUUUCAACGAAACUAUGGACGGUUGAUGAGGCAGCAACAGGGGGUGCCACAUCCUAAAGCGUCUAAACUACUCAAGGUACUCAAUUAAAAUGUCUUCAAAGAUAGUGAAGAGACCGGUACAGAUGAAUCAAUGAAGGAACUGCCAGAAACUUCUUCUAGGAGAUCAAAGUUUGAGCGGGACAGAAGGGAUGGAGAAGAUCCAGACCAGCCCCUUACCAUCCAGUUCGGUACGUUACCUCCUGUCGUGGCCAAUAAUUACUUACUGGCCAAUGAAUUCAAGAAUAAAGAAAAAGAAGAAGAGAGGGAGAACAAUGAAGGAGAAGCUUACGUGCUGGUAUGUGAAGAAAGCCAGACUUCUAGAGAGGCCUACAACGAUGAAGAGGACGAUGGGAUGAUUGAAAUUGAAGAAGAAAUUGACCUAGAAGCAGAAGGAAGAAAGAGAGGAGUAUCGCGCAAUACUCUGUUGAAGCAGCUACAUCGAGAGGGAGUUCGCGAAGUAGACUUGUUGGGGGAACCAUCUGGGCGUCCUUUCAAUUUCUACGUACUGUACGGGACACCCAAAAGGAAGAAGAGAGUGCCUCGCUCUGAAAAGUAUGGGUCACCUCCAAGAAUAAUGCCCCCUCCUACAGGUUGGGUAACUGAUGAGGAAGCAUUAGAAAAAAGUAGGAAGGAAGUUCAGGAGACAGAGGAUCAGCGUGAUAUACUGCACGUCGACUUAUCGCAGGGGGAUAAUUCGAUAGAAAACAAGCAGGAAGUAGAAAUAAAGGCUGCCGAAAAGGUUAUUUUUAAACGGCCAGCCAUGAAAUUGACUAAACACUUGAGGCCAUUAUACGUUAAAGCUCUAGUUAACGGCGUCCCAAUGGCAAAAGUGCUUGUCGACAAUGAAGCAGCUAUAAACACCAUUCCAUCUAGGAUGAUGAGGAAGUUUGCAAAGACAGAAGGUGACAUGAUUCCUACAAAAGUCAUCCUCACGAGCUUCAAUGGAGGAGCAACUUCAGCUAAGGGAGUUAUGCCAUUGGACAUAACUAUAGGGACGACUACUAGGACCACUGUCUUCUUUGUAAUAGAUGGUCCUACUAGUUAUAAUGUGCCACUAGGAAGAGAUUGGAUACACGAAAGUCGUUGUAUACCAUCAUCACUCCAUCAAUGCCUGAUCUUUUGGAAUAACAAAGGCGAAGCAGAGGUGGUACAGGCCGAUCAUAGGCCUUUUGUUGCAGAAGCAAACUCAAUGAAAAAGUUCAUGUACGAAGGAAACUAUGAACCUGUCAGGGUAGUACAAGAUGGGGAAGAAACUCAGGUUGUCGCGCAAAGCGAAGAACCAUUCUCAGUGGACGCACUCACUGAAAUGUUCAAACAGAUGAGGCCAAAUAUAGUGGCCCCGAAAGAGCCAGUAAUUGGCAAAAGAAUAAUCAAGGAGUCUUGAAUGGAUUCUAAGUUACGAAGCAAAUGGCGGACAUUCAGGCCUUCAAAGCCAGACUGAUGGCUUUCAAUAAGGAAUGCAAUGACAAGGCGAAAGAAGAGACAGCCCUAAAAGCGCUGAAGGACAAGUUGGCAGUAUUCGAGUUAGAGCAAAGCAUUGGCCGAGAAGUCAACAAGGUGGACUGUUUAGAAGAGGAAGUACUACUUACAAGGGAAUUGGACGAUGAAGUGAUGUGGAUCGCCAAACCUGGAUAUGCUCAAGCACAAGACCCUCUGAUCAAAGUAAAUAUUGGCAAUGAAGGAGAAGAUCGCUCAACAUUCAUCAGCCAAAUGCUCAACCAAGUGGUUAGUAACAAAUUAAUCGCUUUGCUAAAAGAGUACAAAGAUUGUUUUGCUUGGGAAUAUGAACAAAUGCCUGGUUUAGAUAGAGACUUGGUGGAACAUAGGUUACCAACUAAGCCAAACUUUAAACCUCAUAGGCAGCCUCCUAAAUGUUUUGCUCCCAAUGUACUCCCUGAAAUCCAGAAAGAGAUAGAGCGAUUAUUGAAAGCAGGUUUUAUUAGAACAGUCAAAUAUGUCGAAUGGUUGUCCAAUAUCAUGCCAGUACUAAAAAAGAAUGGUAAACUAAGGGUGUGUAUAAACUUUAGAAAUUUAAAUAUAGCUACACCCAAAGAUGAGUAUCCAAUGCCCACGGUGGAUUCUUUAGUAGAUUCGACUGCCGGAGAUGUCAUGUAUUCUUUCAUGGAUGGGUAUUCAGGAUACAAUCAAAUUUAUAUAGCUGAAGAAAACAUACACAAAACUGCCUUUAGAUGCCCUGGGUCUCUAGGAUGUUUUGAAUGGGUGGUUAUGCCUUUCGGCCUAAAAAAUGCAGGAGCAACUUAUCAAAGAGCAAUGAAUUUAAUCUUUCAUGAUAUGAUAGGCAAGUUUGUUAAAGUGUAUGUAGAUGACAUAGUAGUCAAGUCCAUUAAAGAAGAGGACCACUUCGAACAGUUAAGAUGUUCGUUUGAGCGAAUGAAGCAAUAUAAGCUAAAGUUGAAUCCCUUGAAGUGUGCAUUUGGUGUUAAUGCAGGGAAUUUUCUUGGUUUUUUAGUACACAAGAGAGGGAUUGAACUUGAUAAAAAUAAAGCGAAGGCCAUUUUAGAGGCCAAACCACCUAGCAACAAAAAAGAAUUGCAAAGGUUCCUAGGUCAAGUAAAUUUUUUAAGACGCUUUAUUUCUAAUUGUGCAGGGCGAACUAAAGUCUUUUCGCCGCUCUUAAAGCUGAAAAAUCAGGACGAAUUCGUCUGGAGAGAAGAACAUCAAAAGGCUUUUGAAAGCCUGAAGACAUAUUUAUCAAGUCCAUCAGUGUUGGUGUCACCAAUCCAAGGACGGCCAAUGAAAGUGUACGUAUCGGCUGAAAAAGAAUCAAUAGCUGGAAUGAUCGCACAAGAAGACCAAUUUGGUGAAGAAAGGGCGAUUUACUACUUAAGUAGACGGUUAACGAAAUGUGAAUGUAAUUACUCUGCUAUCGAAAAAUUAUGUCUUGCAUUAUAUUUNNNNNNNNNNNNNNNNNNNNNNNNNNNNNNNNNNNNNNNNNNNNNNNNNNNNNNNNNNNNNNNNNNNNNNNNNNNNNNNNNNNNNNNNNNNNNNNNNNNNNNNNNNNNNNNNNNNNNNNNNNNNNNNNNNNNNNNNNNNNNNNNNNNNNNNNNNNNNNNNNNNNNNNNNNNNNNNNNNNNNNNNNNNNNNNNNNNNNNNNNNNNNNNNNNNNNNNNNNNNNNNNNNNNNNNNNNNNNNNNNNNNNNNNNNNNNNNNNNNNNNNNNNNNNNNNNNNNNNNNNNNNNNNNNNNNNNNNNNNNNNNNNNNNNNNNNNNNNNNNNNNNNNNNNNNNNNNNNNNNNNNNNNNNNNNNNNNNNNNNNNNNNNNNNNNNNNNNNNNNNNNNNNNNNNNNNNNNNNNNNNNNNNNNNNNNNNNNNNNNNNNNNNNNNNNNNNNNNNNNNNNNNNNNNNNNNNNNNNNNNNNNNNNNNNNNNNNNNNNNNNNNNNNNNNNNNNNNNNNNNNNNNNNNNNNNNNNNNNNNNNNNNNNNNNNNNNNNNNNNNNNNNNNNNNNNNNNNNNNNNNNNNNNNNNNNNNNNNNNNNNNNNNNNNNNNNNNNNNNNNNNNNNNNNNNNNNNNNNNNNNNNNNNNNNNNNNNNNNNNNNNNNNNNNNNNNNNNNNNNNNNNNNNNNNNNNNNNNNNNNNNNNNNNNNNNNNNNNNNNNNNNNNNNNNNNNNNNNNNNNNNNNNNNNNNNNNNNNNNNNNNNNNNNNNNNNNNNNNNNNNNNNNNNNNNNNNNNNNNNNNNNNNNNNNNNNNNNNNNNNNNNNNNNNNNNNNNNNNNNNNNNNNNNNNNNNNNNNNNNNNNNNNNNNNNNNNNNNNNNNNNNNNNNNNNNNNNNNNNNNNNNNNNNNNNNNNNNNNNNNNNNNNNNNNNNNNNNNNNNNNNNNNNNNNNNNNNNNNNNNNNNNNNNNNNNNNNNNNNNNNNNNNNNNNNNNNNNNNNNNNNNNNNNNNNNNNNNNNNNNNNNNNNNNNNNNNNNNNNNNNNNNNNNNNNNNNNNNNNNNNNNNNNNNNNNNNNNNNNNNNNNNNNNNNNNNNNNNNNNNNNNNNNNNNNGUACCUUUGAAAGAGAUCACCCAGAAGAACGUUAUAGAGUUUAUCCGUGAUCACAUCAUUUAUAGGUUUGGAAUUCCACAAACGUUAAUAGUAGAUCACGGAACAUCUUUGAAUGGGGAUCAAGUGAACAAAUUUUUGAGCGAAUUUGGGGUUAAAUUAGUAAACUCCACACCAUACUACGCUCAAUCCAACGGACAAGCAGAAUCUUCUAAUAAGAUUCUAAAAAAUAUCAUCAGAAAGAUGAUAGAUGAAAAUGCCAGAAAUUGGCACGAAUAUCUGAACAAAGCCUUAUGGGCUUAUAGAACAUCACCUCGAUCAAGUACCAAAGUUACUCCUUUCCAACUUGUUUAUGGGCAGGAGGUCGUUUUGCCUAUGGAAAUCAACGUGCAAUCGAUUAGAGUGUGCUUGCAACAUAAGUUGAAUGAUGAUGAGUAUGCCGAAUCACUAGUUCAAAAUUUAUUGGGGUUAGACGAAUUAAAGUUGGACGUCUUAGAUAGAUUGCAAGUUCAAAAACAAAGAAUGGCUAAGUUUUUUAAUAAAAAAGUCAUAGCCAAAUCGUUCAGCCUGGGUGAACUAGUUUGGAAGACGAUACUCCCUUUGGAUAGCAAGGAUCCAAAGUACAGGAAGUGGUCGCCCAAUUGGGAAGGACCAUACAAAAUAAACAAUGUGUUGCCCAAUGGAGCGUAUCACUUGGAAGAUUUAGAUGGCACCAAGCACGUGAGAUUCAUUAACGGCAAAUAUUUGAAAAAAAUAUGUUCCUUCUUUAUGGGAAUGUGAACAGAUAAAAAUAUAAUCAACAUAUGUUGAAUGAUUAAGGAUAACAAGGUCAGAGCAAAAUACGUUCAAAUAAAGUCCUUUAUUAUCAAACGUUCAUUACAGAGAUGCGAAAAUACAAAUAAUGGAUGCUCUACAAACUACAAUCAAAAGUAAGCUAAUCUCCCGGUCGAUUGCUGAGUAAGAGGGUGGACUAACCUCACACUGCCUUCCUAAAUGCAUCACUGCAAUGGUGGGAUCGCCGAGUAAGAGGGUGGACUGGCCUCACCACCUUCCGAAAUGCAUCGCUACAAUGGCGGGUAAAGAUGCUGAGAAGCACUCUCAGUAAGCAAACUGAGAAGCACUCUCAGCAAGCAAUAUGGCCCGCAAGCAUCCCAAAAAUUGCCUUCUAUCAUCGACUCUUUGUAAAGGACAAAGAGACGAUGGGAAGAACUUCGAUGGUAAAAACUUUGCUGCUGGCCAAAAAAUAUUUCCUAUACCUCCCACACCAAAGGUGACAUCAAGGCAAAUAGUAAAAUGGACGAACUAAACAAUCCAUUUUUAUAGAAAGGCGAAGGUUUCGGAUCGGAUUGAUUGUCAGAGUGCCAAACAAUGGCAGCAAAUUGGUUUUGAAGAAGAAAAUGAAGAUGAAGAUGGAAGAUGGAAAAUGCGAAGUAUCCAUGCAUUUAUAGGGGGGUGGAGAUGAAGAGACAGAAUAUGAACAGCCACAUUUCUGCCUAGUAAAUGGAAUUAAAUAACCCAAAGUCUUAGGAAAAGUGGUGGAAAUAUCAAAAGCAAAUAGGCAAGAUUUUUAGCACGAAGCAGUUAAAUGCUUGAAGAAUUGACGACUAAAAAAAAAAUAAACGUCAAAUAAAUGCAUAAGAAGUUAAUGUUCAUUAAUGAUGAACAGAAUUACAAAGGGAAAAUCAAAUUAUAAAAGAAAAAUGCAUCAUAUGUCUUAAUUACAGUCCACCCCAUACUAAACGAAUUCGUUCCCUAAAUUUUUCCCAAUCCUCGUUCUGUCGAGAGGAAGUGAUGUUCAAUUCGGCCACAACAUCAUCAUCAACUUCCAACUUCUUGUAUUGCUCGACCAAGGACUUAGUUCGCUCAAUUCCCUGGGAGGCGUUGCGCUUUUUAGCAGCCAUUCUCGCCUUGCAGUCGUCCAUUUUGGCUUGAAGUUCCCUCAUCUGAGCAGCCAAAUUAACCAUCAAAGAGUCUUCAAUCAUGACUUCGAAAGAGAUUUCUUUCAACUCGUCCUCAGCCUUGUUGAUCUCCAUAUGCAAAGACUCUUUUUUAGAUACGGCUCGAAGAUAUUGAGUACUUUUGGCCUUUAGUUCAGCAUUCUUGGCCAGCAAAGAAAGGACCUCGGAGUGGAUAACCUUCAACGUCGCUUUAAAAUCGACAGAAAGAUUGAGUGACGGAAACGUCAGUGCUUGCUCCAAAUUCGCAUUCAAAUGCUCAAGUUUAUCAUUGUGUCUGGCAGCACUAGCCCUACCAAUGUCCAUAUCCAUGAAGGACAUGUACUCAAAUAUCAACUGCUUGAGGAACUUCAAAUCUUCCUCUGAAGAAGCAGCAGGACGAUCAGAUGGAGCAGGGCGAGACGUCUUGACUUGCCCCCAGGAAGCGAACAAGUCUUGGAUAGAACGCACUAUCUUGUCAGCAUCCUGCAAAGAAAAUUGGCAAUAUUAAAGAUUCUCACUACAACGAACAAGAUAGAAAUAAAAGUGAAGCAAAGACUACCUCAUCAACAAUCGUGGAAGGUGGCAUGUCCUCAGCCAAGUCUGCCACCAAUGACUCCUCCAUUCGUGAGGACUUUCCCUUGUCUGAGCGAGAAGAUGUUGCCACAAUGGGCAAACUCAUAGGAGUAUCUGCAAAAAUCAAGAGCAACAAAUCAGAAACCAAUAGCACAAGCAACGGUAAGGCAUCAAAAAACUGAAUUACCUUCCGCUUCGAUGUUUGGGGGGUUGAUGCCCUGGGAAGAAGGUGGCUCAUCCAUGGGUUGUGAUGAGGAUUCUGGGACUGAAGAUGUCUCUUUAAGCAUAGUCCCCUCAUCAACCGGUUUGGAUGAAGCAGCCUCAGCAGAGGAUGAUGGAGCAGGAGCUGUCGAUGCAAAAGCCUUUGAAGGAGAGGCUGAACUUUUCUGAGAAAUCCAAAAAAUCAUCAACACACAGAAAAGUUUCAAGUAUGGAAAAGUAUGCUUGUGAGUAAAUCAAUUUAAUUACCUUCCUCCUGACGAUAAGAGGGGUAUCAUCAUCAUCAUCAACAUCAUCCUCCAGAAUGGGAGAUGCUGAGGCUGGCCGUUUGCGGCUUGGGGCACUCUUGGCUAUAGUAGGCUUGGCAGGGAGAGAAGAAGAUGGACGAGCAGACUAUUUAGUGCGACGAGAAGGAGAAGGACUCCGAAUGGACAAAGGAGUGACUAAAACAGGAGGAGGGGAAGAAAUGUUCGGCUGGUCUAGUGAAUGAAAGGCACGAUUGGCGUCAGUCGCAAAUAAUCUGCGCUUCACUGACGGCCAGAGCUGUUCAAAAAGAGGGUGAAUGGCGUGGCUAGAAUUGAAGGGGGCAAAUGAAAAAUGGCUGGUUAAAAGAAGAUUGCGAGCAUUUAUAGCCUUUGCCUCCGCCUUAUUAAUAGUAUGAAAACGGUCAAUUAAGUUCCUUGAAUAGCAAGGAGGAACAGGCCAAGUUUGGCCGAAACCAAUCUGGCGAGCAAAAAAUUGGAGAGCAUAAAUUUCUACCCCCGCCUUUGCAUUGGUCCCAGUUAAAAUAUCAUGAAAUAGCUCCCUCCCGGUUAAAAACUGGAUCCAAAUAAGUAGGGAGGUGCUCGCGCUGUCUAUAGUGGAGGGGGGAUGUACAUAGUUUGGAGUCAAAAAAGGAGGAAAAGGAAAAAAGGAAGAGAUUGAGUCCAAAGAAUAAAAAAAUGAAAAAAAUGUCACUUCUGGACAUAUUUACAGGAGCCAAGGGCUCCAUGGCUAGCCCAUAACAGCUAGCAGAGGAGCGAGAAAUUGAUGGAGCACCAAGCAAUGGAAAAUAGGAUCUUAACCACAGUUGAGUGAACCAAAGAGGUCCACUACCAGUGGGAGAUGUACCAUUCUUUAAUUGAGUUUGAAGAGAGGUCAUGCCUCUAUAAAGGGCAGCGAAAAAAAAAGAACAUAAAUUCAAAAACCUACCACGCACCAAUUCGUGCGCUAUAGGUAAAUAACUCAGGGAGGGCUUUAUGCUUAGCACACACAAAACAUAUUUACAAAGCCAAACUAGAAGGAAUGCCACUCGCUCAAUAUGGGAAGGCUCAGCGCUCGAAUGAUUGUGAAGGGUUUGCAGGCUUGAAUAAGAUUCGGUGUAGUUUUUACCAAACUUUGGGGCGCCACCAGAAACCAAGAUACCAGGAAAAAUGGUAUUGCCCAAAGGUGGUAGAUUCACCAGGGCCCCAACAUCCCUUAAGGUAAUAGACAUGGGGCCAAGAGGGAAAAUAAAGGUAUUAUACUCGGAAGACCAAAAACUCAAAGCAAUCGAAAAGAGUGCUGAAUCAAAAGUAGGCGGGCGAAUAGAGAUUUCUAACAAAUCAGAAAUCCUAGAGCUAUCAAAAAGUGCCUUAGUAGGACCAUGACCCACAAGGCGAGCAUGCCACCUACGGAAAGCUACAUCAGAUUUAGGUCAAGUGCGAAUACCUCUUUCGCGAAGUGGCCCCAGCGGCAGAGAGUUUAGAAAUGGAGGGCCUUGAGUACAAGGAAAUAGUUGACCCACCGCCGCCUGUUCAACUACCUCUGCAUUGUUGAAGAAAGGACCUAAGUAAAACUCAUUGCGUUCAACAUCGGCGGGCACAAGAAAACUCGGAGUUAUGUAUGGAUAACUCAGAAGUUUCUGAAAGUCAUCAAAACUAAAGGAGUCGCCAGCUUGAAAUUGUGAAGUAGCCAUUUGAGAUGGAACGAAGAUUUUCAGGGUUACGUAGCAGGGAAGCAAAAGAUGAACAGUAAAUCGUGGAGAGACGCGAAAAAUUUGAGGCGUGAUUUAGUGGUGCAGUGAAAUUGCGUGUUUGGAGGUUAUAAGGGUUUGCAAAACGACGCACCUUUUCAAGUUAUGGAAGAAAACAAUGAUUGAAAUUCUUGAAAAUCCCUAAUGUUGCUGGAAACACAAAGUGAAUAUGGCAAAAUUUAAUAAUUCUUAUUAAUUCUGCCAUAUUGGGGGGUAAUUAUUGACACAUAAAAAUUCAGCCCAAAUCGAAUGGUCCAAGGAAUGAAGCCCAAUUGGAGAAUCCCCAAAUCAGAUAGCCCAAAGAACGAAACUCAAUCAAACAAUUCAAGAUGAAGGCCCAAAUAGGGAGGCCCAAGAACGUGGUAACGCCAUCGCCCAAGAUUGCAAGUCGCCCAGAAUCUGAGCGAAUGGAGUGCCAUGCAGUCGCCUAGAGCUAUUACUCUAUUCUCGCCAAAACCUUCAGGUCGCCCAAAGUCUUAACAAACAUAAAGCGUUGUGGUUAUCAAGAAGUGUAGUUAUCAAAGCAGUUAGUAAAUCAGCCCCAUCACGUUCCACGAUUCAAGAAUUCAAUCGAAAACGGUUGAACGACGAAGAGUAAUGGCAGCAGUUAAAUAAGAUAGUUUUCAUGACAAGCUGGCCAUUAUGAGGAAAGUGGGCAGUUGCAGAACGAUCAAGCAGUUUUUAGGCGGUUGAUCACAAAGAGAUCGUCCAUGAAGUAUAAAAGGGAGAAAAGACAUAGAGCAAAAGACCGAAUCAAAAACUCUCGAAUAGAGAACAUGUAAUUUUAAUUUCCUUAGUUUAAGACUUAAAACACUUUUUUCAAUAACUCGUGUGCUUGCGCCCCUUGGAGGCACUUUGUUUUUAAUUUCCAAUUGUAAAGUUAUCGCCAAUAAAAGAACACCCCUUUUUGGGACUUUGUCUCAAGAGGUUUGUCCCUUACACAAUCGUCUGAUCCUUUUUAAUUGUUAGCGACUAACCCGCGCGAAACAAAUUCCAUCAUAAAAAAUUGAUUUGUAAUAAAAUUUUAUUAUUGCUCUGUUUCUUUUUAGACUAUUUGUUUGAUGAGUUUUAGGCCUACAAUUAGUACUUUGUACCGAGAUUCAUUGUUAGAAGACGGCUAGUGGUUUAUAUUCAGACUCUGACUCAAAAUAUACAAGGAUCGACUCUUUUUAAUUGUUGUUCUUCCUUUGAAAUUGGUUUCAACUACGUUAAUUUCACAUAAUUUGGACGAGUAUUGGAAGAGAAAAGUUACACAUACACCUUUUGGAUAUUACUAUUUGUACUUUUUCUCAGCAACAUUCUGGUUUUUCUCAAUCCAGUGAAGAAUAGAGAAUCUACGUAAUAGGCCUCUACAAUUUGUGAUCUAGUUCCUAUUGAUACUACAGUAUGUAAUUUAUGUAAGCUCUGUUGUCGAUUUUCCAACACGCAUAUAAGCAGCAUGUAAUUGCGUAAUUUUAUGGUUAGGAAGAAUCGUUUGAUGCUUUCGAAUUGUGUGUGAGGAGAAAUUGGAAGAAAUUUAUUGGUAUUGUUAAAUUUUGAGUUUAUGAACAUUUCUAUUGUAAAGAAUUUUGACUCCGGUCAUCUGAUUUUAAUCAUAUCUCCUUUUCACUAUUUUAUUAACUGAAUUUAUGCAAAUUUUUAAUGUGUCUGUUAAAUGAUUGAUGUAUGACUUGAUAAACUAUAUAAUGGAAUUUAUUUUUUAUCUAGUAUGUUUGCUUCAAAUUGUUUCUUGUAAAAUGUAAUUAUUCCUGCAACAAUGCUUAAUAUUUGAGAUUGUAAUACUAAUAUAACUAUAAUGCUUUUACUUAGUUUUAUUUAGGACGGAUAGCAAUACUCUAAUCUUUCUAGAAGCAAUUUAUAGGCUCCAAACACUCUACCCGUGCGAAAAUUGAUCACGCAUAGGAUCAGAAGAAUGUCCCUAGUCCGAAUUCAUAUGAUAGUCAUGCAUCUGGUUUAUAUUAUUAAUAAAAUUGCAUGCGUGAAAGUGUUGAUUUGACCGUGUUCCAGACUUAUUGCAAAUAUUCCUAUACUACAACAAGCAACUAACUGACAAUGAAAUAGUGCAACGAGUAUGUAAAAUUAAUCAAAUAACGUAAGAACUUCCUGAAUUAAUGUCUUGAAUUGAUAUAAAUGAAAAUAGGGUUUAAACACUCAUCCGAUACAAUUGAAAAACUAGCAUAACAUGUUCAGAAUUAAAUUACAAAAGUACAAUUGGAAAAUCAUCAUCCAAAAAGAAGAAAUAAUGAAGAAAUAGGAAAUUUUCACAUUCUUAAUGUGAAUCUUGAAUCCAAAUGAAGAAUCUUCAAUAUCUUUGCAAUUCACCUUGAUUCGAUGUUGUUAGCCUUAUUCUUUGCAUCUAAAAUUGAUUAAAAUAUAUGAAUUUUUAUGUCUAAGGUGGUUUUCAAUGUCUUGGACGGCUUAUGGUAUAUAUAGAAUGCCAAAAGAUUGCUUAUUAAAAGUUUCCAAAACAUAAUAAGAAAACACAAGACAUUCUUGAAUCGCCAUUUCGCAGUCUGACACAACUUUUGAAUUAUUGCAUUUUAGUCCCUAUAGCGUUGAUUUCGCCAUUUUUCUCAAUUUUUCAUUUGUUUUCUUCAAUUCUUUAUCAAAUCAUGAGUUUUACCUAUUAACAUAAUAUAACACAAAUUAUGCUAUAUUUCAUCAAAAGAACUACAAAAUGUUAUUAUUUAAAGCCCCGAAUAAGUAUAUAAAAGACACUUUUCAAUUACAUUUAACGCUUUGAAAUUUACUCUCAACUCACUUUAGAUAAUAUUUUAGCAAUCGAUGAAUGAUUUAAAGGUCCAUCUUACAUUAGAUUAGUGUUAAUUUGUUGAGAGAUUGCAAGAAAGAAUGUCAAUUUCUUGUUGAUACUUAUUGAAGCAAAAUGGAUAAAUCAUGGAUGCACAAUUAUGGCAAAUGGUUGGAGCAAUCAAAGAUAUAGGACUUUGAUUAUUUUUUUAGUAUAUUUCACUUUUGGGAUUGUAUUUAUAAAAUCUUAUGAUGUGUCAAAAAUAGUGAAAGAUGUUCAAAUAUUGUGUAAUUUAUUUUUCAAGAUAGUUGAAUGGGUUGAACCUUGUAUCUUGGUUCAUAUGGUAACUACUAAUGUAGCUAACUAUGUGGCGACCGAAAAAUUAAUGCAUGACAAAUAUGAUCAUAUUCUUUUGGUCUCCUUGU